rnacentral:lncRNA from 1 species
UUUUUUUUUUGUUUUUUUUCAUUGUGCACAAAAAAAGAGAAAACAACAAAAACUCAAUUUGGCCCAUACAGGUCUCGAACCUGUGACCUUCGCGUUAUUAGCACGACGCUCUAACCAGCUGAGCUAAUAGGCCUUUUGUUGUCUAAAUAGUUUUUCAGCUUUUAUAUUUAUGUAAAUUGAAUAAAACUCGAUGUUCAAACAAAAUAAAACUGAAUAAAACUCGCACACCGCCCCCCUUUGGUGAGAAGAAAAGAGUAAGAAGAUCACUGGAGCCUCUUUUGGCUGAGCUGAUUUUAUGAAUCACAAGAAAAUCCAUCUCUGCUCCAACCGAUCUGCGAAAUGCAACAACAAAUCUUGGUCCUUGGCUAUCUAGAUUACCAUUUCACUGCCCACGUUUGCAAGUAUUCCUAGCUGUUGUGGCCCUUUUGUCAUUGUUUCUGUGAUGGGAUGGGUAAGCAAAUCAUCUUGGAACAGCUACGUAGUGAUAAAAGUAAAAGACAUGUGCAAGUGGGCAAGUAAUCGCAACUAUUCAUGUGGUAUCUCCGUAGGGGAGUUGUGCUAACAAAAGAUAACCUCGCACAACGCAACUGGUCGGGAAAUAAGAAGUGUUGUUUUUGUACUCAUGACGAGACAAUUAAACACCUCUUUUUUCACUGUAAAUUUGCGCGUUCUGCGUGGUCAACCAUCCAAAUAGCGUCAAAUUUGUAUCCGCCCACAAGUGUUGCCAAUAUUUUUGGUCAUUGGCUGGACGGUAUUUCAAAUGCAUACAAAACGCUAAUAAGGGUGGGAGCAUAUGCCUUACUAUGGUCGCUUUGGCUAUGUAGAAAUGAUGUUGUUUUUAAUGACAAAAUUGUUUCUCCUUUACAGGUUAUUUUCCGUUGUACACACUCGCUUCGUACGUGGUGUACGCUACAACAAGCGGAGUACCAACCGCUAUUCAAGGCGGUGUGUACGCUGUUGGAGCAGGUAGCUACGGAGGUUUUUACCCAACAUGGAUGGCAACAUAAUCUCCGGCUCGGUCCACCAUCUCUUUCGACAUAGGCAUAGUGUCGGUCUAUGGACUCAACUGGUGCCGAAUUGUCGGUCUAUUAUCUUUCUGUUAAUCAGACUACUUGUGUUUGGCCGUGUGCAUCCUAGUUAUGCAGAAGCCGGGUGAUACUCUUAAUGUUUUGUAUCACUUUGAUGCUAUAUUUUAAGAUAAUAAAAGCGCUCUUUAUCGAAAAAAAAUAAUCGCAACUAUACAUACCCACUAAGCGAUUCUAGAGAAAAUAAUAACUGCCGACUUUUGCAUCACAGGAUGCACAUAGCCAAAUUGCAAAAAAAAAAAUAGUGAGGACACUUUUUCUUUAAAAGGAGGAUAAUUAACCCCGGCCCCUACAUCAAGCGAUGUACACAAGCAUUGAGUGAGAACACUUUUAUGGAAGAAGAGCAACCUUUUUCAUGGUAUUCCUCCCUUUUUUUGAAAUGGAGGAGGACCCCGGCCUCUGCAUUCUGGAUGAUGCAUGUAGCCACUUUAUUAAUUAUUCACACAAGACUUUACAAAGUCAUACAACAGUAAGACUAAAGCCACCGUCUAGGCAACAUCUGUCGCUACUCCUAUCCAGUUGAUGAAGGGAUGCUGAUAGUCUGGGCCUAAUACUAAACAGACCUCGCAGUCAAACCUAACAUCUAAGACCUGAGGUCACAUCCAGGACGCCCAUCGGGUAUGAGGCCGCGCAGCCACCUACCACCAAUCCAUCUUCAGAAUUGUACUGUUGCAUCAACCUUGCCCGAUCUAACUGUUGUCGAUGCCACCAUGACGCCAGACCGUGUCACCCUCCUACGCGAGUCCAUCUCCGCGCAUCGGACGCCCAGUCACCACAGCGCCAUGCCGCCGAGACCCGCCGCCAUCAAUGAGUGAGAUGACGCACCGCUCCACCAAAGAAUCCGUCCUCUGAUCCUACAUCCAGCCGCUGCUCAAAAACGAUGCCCCCAUGAGGGAAAACGACGCCAAAAGCACCGCCAUCAUCUGAUCCGGAAACUCCGGGUCUAGGUUUUCACCUAGAGCAGCGCAAGCAAGUCGACAGAAGCUGCAAUGGCGAUGUCUUCAACAAGAUAACAAUGCAAAAAGGUCGCCGUCGCAGCCCACCAUGGCUAUAGCACGGUUUUCACCGGCAGCCUCGUCUCCCCACUCGACGCCAGGACUGGAUGCGAGAAUCCACAACCAUCUAGCCGACCACCUCCGGCGUAGAAGAUGGCCACCACCUCCACGCCCAGGACCGGAGCCCCCGGCGUCCUCGUGUCGUGGGCCUAGUCCAGAGGCCGCGUGCCACGCAGGAACAAAGGGUGCGCACGAUGGCUCGAGGAACCACCACCCAGAUCCGAAAGGGAUCCAGAUCGGGCAACCUAGCAGCCGAUGUGAUCCCUUCCUCGCCGCUGCCAGCACAACAACCCUGGUCGCCGCCGGCCUGCGCCACCGCCCUUGAAUUGGCCGGAGUGGAUCGCCGCCACCCAGAUCCGACCGUCAGCCGAGGAAGGUUGCCGCCGCCGCCAUCGCCGGCCGGGGUGGUAUUCCUCCCUUUGUAUUCUUGGAAAGGAAUAUAACGGCUUGCAUGGAGCACCCAAUACUGGUACCGGCCACCUCACUUAAUCAUUCAUCAUCAUGUCAAUCUUUUGUUUGCGACUUUUAAAACCAUGGACGUAUGCAUGGGGAUAGAAAAGAUAUACUCUUAUGAUGAGAAGAAAAAAUUAAGAGGAUGAACCAGAAGAGAUAUCAUCGCAGGGAGCAAGUAGGAAAAUCAAGCUUGUAGGAGCCAUCUACAAAAUACUGCAAGAAAUCUUUGCCCUUGUCUAGUUUUCCCAUUUCACUGUCCAUGCUUGUAAAUAUUUGUCUUUGUUGGAAUCUUUUUUGUCACUGUUUUCGACUAAUGUGAUGUGAUGCGUGCGCAAAUCAUCAUGCAACCGUUACAUAAUAAUGACAUAUAUUAUUAUACAAAAAAACACAAGAUUCCUUUUUUAUUUCAUUUUUUUCUCUGGCAAAAGAUGGAUGCCGGUGAUGAGCCCGCUAGCAUGCCAUCUACAACUGAGAGUUGUUACAAAAAAAAAUCCCUUGCGUUGAUUUUGAUCAUAUACUGAUGUGUCAUGUGGCGUUCAGAGUCUUACCAUGUGUGUAUGUAUUUUGGAAAUUUAUGUAUUGUAUGUUGUUGUGCUCGGUUUGAUUCUGAAGAAAAGGGAUGCCCCAUAUGUAUCAAGACCCAUUGCUCUAGCCCUUUCUGUCAUCGUUUUCUCCCCUCUAAUGAUGUCUUUGCGAUUGAAAAACACGAUAAUCUUUCCAUGAGAAAGAAGGAGCACAUGUUCUAGAGUUAAACAAGCAGAGCGAGGCGAAUCAAUCGGUGUUCUUGCCAGGUUGCCAACCUGCAUUCUGGAGGUUUCAAUUUGGUUGUCAAGACCUGAGGCCUGCCUGAGGGGGUGCAGGUGUUGUCUUGCCAGCUUCAGUUUGCAAGGAAAAGACUCGCCCUGCUACAGAAGCAAUGAUACUUGUUGAGUAAGUAGGAACAGAGCAGCAUGAAUGGUGCGAAAUUUGUGCAGUUACACUUACACAUGAACAAAACAAAAGCACCCCAUCUGCGACAGGUUUAGAAAAUUCAGCGAGUGGAAUCUUUUUCAUUCCAGAAGAAAGGAUGGUUGCAAGAAAAAAAUAUAAUAAAAAAUCUCAAAAAAGGGACAUUUGGAAAAGAUUGGUGAAGUGGAUUUUUUUAUAUAUAUUCCAGAAGAAUGGAUGGUUGCAGGAACUGUUUUUUUUUAUCUCAAAUGAAGGGAAAUUUCAAAAAGCAAAAGCACCCGAUCUGCGACACGUUUAGAAAAUUCAGCGAGUGGAAUCUUUUUAUUCCAGAAGAAAGGAUGGUUGCAGGAAAAAAUUAAAAUAAAAAAUCUCAAAAAAGGGACAUUUGAAAAAGAUUGGUGAAGUGGAUUUUUUUUUAUAUUCCAGAAGAAUGGAUGGUUGCAGGAACUGUUUUUAAAAAAAUUCUCGAAAGAAGGGAAAUUUCAAAAAGCAAAAGCACCCGAUCUGCGACANNNNNNNNNNNNNNNNNNNNNNNNNNNNNNNNNNNNNNNNNNNNNNNNNNNNNNNNNNNNNNNNNNNNNNNNNNNNNNNNNNNNNNNNNNNNNNNNNNNNNNNNNNNNNNNNNNNNNNNNNNNNNNNNNNNNNNNNNNNNNNNNNNNNNNNNNNNNNNNNNNNNNNNNNNNNNNNNNNNNNNNNNNNNNNNNNNNNNNNNNNNNNNNNNNNNNNNNNNNNNNNNNNNNNNNNNNNNNNNNNNNNNNNNNNNNNNNNNNNNNNNNNNNNNNNNNNNNNNNNNNNNNNNNNNNNNNNNNNNNNNNNNNNNNNNNNNNNNNNNNNNNNNNNNNNNNNNNNNNNNAAAAUCUCAAAAAAGGGACAUUUGAAAAAGAUUGGUGAAGUGGAUUUUUUUUAUAUUCCAGAAGAAUGGAUGGUUGCAGGAACUGUUUUUAAAAAAAUUCUCGAAAGAAGGGAAAUUUCAAAAAGCAAAAGCACCCGAUCUGCGACAGGUUUAGAAAAUUCAGCGAGUGGAAUCUUUUUAUUCCAGAAGAAAGGAUGGUUGCAGGUAAAAAUUAAAAUAAAAAAUCUCAAAAAAGGGACAUUUGAAAAAGAUUGGUGAAAGUGGAUUUUUUUAUAUUCCAGAAGAAUGGAUGUUCGCAGGUGUUUUUAAAAAAAAAUCUCGAAAGAAGGGAAUCUUCAAAAAGUUUUUUGGGGCGAGAGAGGCUCGAACUCUCGACCUCAGGAUCACUCGCUUUAGCUAUGAGACCUACGCGCUAGCCAACUGCGCCACCGCCCCCUUGUGACAUUUCUUCUCAUCACUACGCUAAGAUUCUAUUCAUCUUCAUUCACAGCCUCAGUUUUACGUAUGCAACUUCCAGAGAUUCCAAAUGGUGUGUGUACAUUUCUUCAAAGCUGAUGCAGUAACAGCAGGCUCAUAUUGUUCAUUUCAUAGCCAACACAAUGAUAAAACUAUCAAGCAAUCAGUUCAAGAUUCCAACGACCCCACUGUUCUCAAGAAGAGAAAAGAAAAGAGACAAAAUAUGGAGCCUACUUCUCAAGGAUCCAUCAUUCCAUCAAACUGUACUUUGGGGGCACAAAUGGACCAACAUGUUCAGCCUUUGCACUUCUUUUAUUCAUGUUCAUGUGACAGCAAACCGAUCUAUCUGAUAUAAAAACAGAUAAUGGCAGGUUGUAAUAAGAUAUUAUCUAUACCCCUAUAUAGUGUAUGAAUAAGUUCAAAUGCUAGCCAUUGAUUUUAUAGGUAUCCAACGGUUGAGAAUUGGCAAAUCCCAGCGUCCCUAAACGUUGGAUCAACUUUUAUGUUGAUCUGGAUCUAGCCCCGUGGCAGUUCCGGUACUAUCUCCCACGGUCUCGGGUGUUCGAGAACCAUCGUGGAUUGAUGGAGCAAAGCUUGCGUCGACCUGACGGCCACUAUUGGAUCUGACUAUAAGCCAUGGCCGGCGCCGGCUCCGCACCGGGAGGAACGCCGGUGUAAGUGUAACGCCUAGCUGCUCGCCCUCUUCCUCGCAUCAGAUGGCUGCCUAGCUCACACUACUCCGUGCGCAGUCGCCGACGUUUGCCCUCGCUGCUUUUGCUGGUCUCCCGCUGGCCGCCGCCUACUGGCUGCCAUAAAAUCCUACGCAUUCGUAAGUCUCCGAGGCAGAGUAUUGUAGGAACAUAGUUGGUGGUAUUAUCGUUGUUCACCCCGGUUUCUGUUGCUGCUCGCGCAGGUGCUACAGAGACAUCACACCGGGAUCAUCCGAUGACAGAUUAUGGAGGGUUAAUUACCUGUAGCAGUACUAGAAACCCAGAACUACCAUGAGAUGAGAAACAUCGGGAUGACUCCUAGCAAAAGAAAGAAGAUCCUAUACGAAAAUCCGUCUCUGCACCCGCGCUAACGAAAAAAUUCAAAACAAAUACUAGAAACAUUCCAAAAAAAAAAUUGUGUCGUAGACAAUUUGUUGCGUGAGACCCGUUCCAAAUUUCAAGUCAUUUGGAUAUAUGAGCAGCUCUCAGCAAAAAAAAAUUAGGGGUCUGUAAACAUAUUUACUGUUCAUGUACUGUUUUGAUCCAAUUUGUCUUUUUUGCUUAAAAAUGCUCAGAUGUCCAAAUGACUUGAAAUUUGGAGCGGGUCUCACACACCAAAUUUUGUACCACAGGAAAAAAUUAGAAUUUUUGUUUUGAAUUUUUUUAUGAAUUUUUUCUAACCGGAUGCAGAUGAGCGUGGGCACCGAAACACCCUACUCGAUCCUAUAGUCAAAUAGGUUGUGAAUGGUCAAAUAGUGUAAAAAUGGCGCCUUCUUAAUAAUCACCGAGUAGCCCCUUCAGUUCAAGGCCGAAUUUUGUCACUAAUUUCGGCCCAUAGACCAAUAUAGCGCAUUAAAAAAAUUAAAUACAUGCACGGGUGAUCAACAUAAGUAAUUUAAACUGAAAAAGUAAUGUCAAACAGCUUAUUCCAUCGUCAAAUGAAAUAAAGAAAGAAAUUAGGGGUGCCCCAUUUGCACCAUAUAACAUUAACUUGACUCAAUAGUAACCCAACAAAUAAAUAAAAUUAACUCAAUCACGUGCAAAAAAAAUACAAAAGAAUCUGGAUUAGAAACUUGAGCCAUUUCUUUAAUAUUUCAAAUGACAACAAUUGUUUCUAUUUUAAACAUAAAUUAUACUUUCCCCCCAAAAAAAACACAAGUUGCACUCACCUAAUUAGUUAUCGGUUAACCUUACGCUAUUAUCCGGCUUUAUUGUGGACUAACGUGCAAAGCACGUGUAAUUUACUAGUUCAUACUAGAAUCCAAGUAUGGGUGUAUGUAUCGAUAUUCUCAUCACACCUCGAAUAAUCCAGGUAAGCAUUAAGCAUCAUCAUUAGUAUAAUGUUCACCUUGAAGCAAGUUGCUGGUACUGAAUGAUAUUUCUUUUUUACAUCCUUAGCAAAGAUGAUUUGAUUGUAUGGCAGAUUUUAGGAACUACAUCAUGCAUCUGGUAACUAGUAAUCAUCUGCAGUCUAUAUUCGGGCCUUAUCCAUGAAAAGAAAGGAAUUGUAAACCUCGGAGUACCAAGACUUGAUCCCAAACAUUGAUCUUAAUGGUUUUUAAUUAUACAAAAUGCAAACGAAGUCUAAAACAUGAAACGUGGCAUUGGUGUAAUUAUAUCAUCCCUAGAGGGUACUAUAAAAUUUGAGAAGGUUUCACAAACAUUGUCAUGUAAACUAAAUCAAAUUUGCUUUUUUUUAGAGGGAAAGUGCCAGGUUUUAAGGCCACAGAUUUAUGUGGCUCCAAUAUCCCACCUCCCAACUCAUCUGCUUUGUCGCCGACGUGCCAUUGUCAAUCGCCUCCUCCCCUCCCCCACCUCCCAACUCUCCUUCCCUCUACAGCCUGCCCGCCCCUCACAAGAUGCAUUGGAGAUGAAAUUCAUAGCACCAUGUGACCUGCAAAACUCAAAAUAGUUUACUCGAAUAAAAAAACUAAGUAAUUGGGGUAUGUGAACAGAAAAAGGCAUUCGGCGACGAAAUUCGAGAUCUGGUCAUCCCACCUUCAGGUGAGAUGUUGCCGUCCACUAUCACCACAGGGGGUCGGCAAAGGGAUGGGGUGGCAUGGUUGGCUAAGGAGGUGGACCGUGGAGACGACAAGGCUCUUCAGAGAGCGCCCGAGGUGGGGCGGAUGCGCGGUGCACCUUCGCUAUGCAGGGAGGUGCAUGAGGCGCUGUUGCUAGGUGGUACAUGCCGAAGGGAGGCACCACGGAGGGGCAGUGGGUAUCAGAGAGAAGCGUGUUGGGGCAAGAAGGGAGGUGAUGGUGUGCCGCGAUGAAGGUGAUGGAGGAGGUAGGGGAAGGGAUCGUGUGAGGUGGUUCCAGAGCAGGAAGGGGCAUGUUUUUUCUGGGGUGUGUGGUGCAUGGUGCUAAAAUAUGGUUGGUGCUGAACGUGGGAGCAAUACGAAAUGUUGGAUUCGAGUAUGUGUAUGGUGCAAAUGUUUGGAAUCUCCACCCUUCGUGCUUUUAUAGGGGUAAUAGAUGCCACAUGGCAUAUGUGUAGAAUGCAUUCACUUUGCAAAGAUGGAAAAGCUUUGUUGAGUUUUACACUCGGAAAACAUUGUGCACACAAACAAAAAUAGGGCCGCGUCGCCCGUUCAUCCCUUUAUCCUGGACUAAGUGGCGAACUAACGUAUCCAUGGCUAGUAGAAGCUAAGGGUGAUGGCCAUGGUGGUGGUCGCGACAAGCGGCCUCCUCUUCCUCUCGGGCAAGAUGCCGAGGGGUGACAUGUUGGCCAUGACAGACAUAACGCCUCAUGGGCCAGCAAGAGCCUGGAAUGGCAGUGAUAACCUGCAAGGGAGACAGAUGGAUGGGCACAUGAGCUCGGGGAUAGGAGGUCGCCGCGCGUCCAUUGACGACGUCUAUCUCUGAUUAUCUCCCUGAUCGCCUACUUGGAGAAGAAGAGGAGCAUCGAGGACUGGGGAAAAGGAGCUUGGCUCUGAAGACCUGAGUCAUGCCUGAUGGGAGUGCAGGUGUUCUUGCCAGCUUCAAUUUGCAAGGAAUUCGUGCAGACCCGACCUGCUACAGGGCAGAAAAUUGAAAUUCAACGCUAGGAACAGCAAGUGGAAUAAUUUUGUUCCAGAAAGAAUGGUUACAGGAAAUAUAGGAGCAAAAGAAAAAAUUGGGGCGAGAGAGGCUCGAACUCUCGACCUCAGGAUCACUCGCAUAAUUUAGCUAUGAGACCUACGCGCUAGCCAACUGCGCCACCGCCCCGGUGUGAUAUAUUUUCAAAUCUAUCCUUAUUGUACCUUUAAGUUUCUUAUCUGUGUGGUCAUGGAGCCUACUUCGAUACAGAUCAGGUGUGCCCAUCAAGCCCUUGCACCUUUUUUUUUUGUUCAGUUUCACGUCUCAGCAAACUAAAACAGAUAGUGGCCGGCAGGCUGCAAUAACAAAAUAUUUGUUCAUAACAUGAUCCAUUUGCGGAUACAUCGAUCCCAUUUCACCUCGCCCCAUCAAGAGAAACAUUAAGCAACGACACGAUACUCACCUUGAAGCGGCAGGGAGCUUCGAUUUAGGGUUGUUCUGUCGAUUUAGAGGAGGAGCUCGGAAUGAUUUGGGUUGUGCUUCAACAAUCCUUUGUUUUAUUGGUCUGGGAACUCCGCUAUGCGUGAGAUUCUGAACUUUUAUAGUUUUAUGUUAUGUUCAGAGUGCAGUCGUCAAUGCUUUGGAGUACUUGGACAUCCACCAUCAACUUGAGAUUGAAGAGGGGGAGAGGUGUGGCUGCUCCCGGGAGUAGGAAAUCCAGUCUCGAAUUACAAUCCACUCAAAACUUCUUUUUCAAAUUUCUGCGACUUCCCUAUGAUGCAUCAAACAUUACUUGCUGAUUCCUACUAGCUACUCCCUCCGUUCCAAAUUACUCGUCGUGUUUGAACUAAAACCACGACGAAAUUUGAACUAAAACCACGACGAGUAAUUUGGAACGAAGGGAGUACAAUCUUGUAGGAUUAAAGAUGUCAUGACAAUAAAAUCAUAUGAAUCAAAGAGGCCUUAAUUCAGGCUGUCUCCGUUCGGCAGGAGCAGAUAGUAUAAAUUGUCACACAUAGACGUGCAAAUACAUCAAGCAAGCAAGAGAAUGAACCCAAUAAGAUGCCUGAAGAAUAGGUGUACGCCUGGAGAAGGAGAUGCCUGAAAAUAGCAACUACUAGUACAAAAGUACUGCACGCGCACGUAGCUAUCCAACAGGAAUUUCCCGGUCAUAACAAAUCCAGUAGCAAGAUACACAUGACUAUUUGGCUGAAAACAACCUUUGAAGCAAAACUUACAAUCACUCAUAGAACCAGGUGUAAAGACACUUGGCAGGUUGUGGCAUCAGACCUCAGUAAGGCCAAAGAGCAAUGCCUUCAGUGAAUAGAUGUACUCUAGAGUUAUGCUGGAACCACUAGCAGAGUAAACAAACAGAGUCCAUGGAAAAUCUUCAAGUAAGAUGAGCUAAACAUUCUUUCUGCUAUAAUUAUUCUUGUAAGAAAGAAACGCAGUCCAGAAAAUUAAGGUGAUUCAAGUGCUUGUGCUUCGACUAGGCCCUCAUCCCGCCGUCCCUAAACCCACCUGAAAAGUUAUGAACAGAGUGAGAUAAACAGCUGGGCAAGUGACAAAGUAAGUAUUGCGCAAAAAGCCCCAUGAUCUUUGCAACCAUAGUGAAAACACAUUUAACAAGCCAAGCUUCUGUAUUUAUUUCAUAAGCAUCGACAACAAUCUCACUCAUUUAUGGCCAUACAUACAUCUCAAUUGCAUUCUCAUUCUAACCAAGAUAAGAUGUCAUAGCACAGAUGCUUAACAGGCUGGCUCAGUCUUUGUCUACAGUCUAACAUAUCACACAGAGUUUACAAACAGAUGUAGCUCAAUUGCACAGGAAGGAGAAUGAGCUUUAACCCACCAAUAAGAAAAGUAAAAUAUGGGAUAUUGAUCGCAAAUAUUGAACGUCACAGUCACCUGCCUUAACGAUGUGACAAUGAUUUGCCGGCGAAGAUGAAACCUGAUGUGUGCCACUAGAACCUAAGAAUUAUAAUUAUAAGGUACAGCUCCUAAAAACACUUGUCAAACUAAAAAAUAAAGACACACUCCUACUACGAUUUGACACGUCACCUCUCUUAUAAUAUAAGUUCACUUCACAAUUUAGUAUCAGUUAUCUAUACAAAUAAAUCUACAACUUUACGGUUGUCAUGAAAAUGUAAUUCAAUCAUGUCCAGAGGUUGAAAUUGUGCUACAAGAUAAAUGGGCUACAGUGAAGAAAAACAGAGUAAUGCACAGGAGAACAGGGUGAAUUCAGAUUGCCAUAGCUUCUGAUGUACCCAACCAAUCUUCGCAUACUUCAUCUUUUUUGUAUGGUAAUGAAAUUAUAUACAAUCUAAUAAGAAUAAGUUUGGAAUCUACAAUCUACCAAGACAUCCAUUUUCAAAAUGUAGAUUGGAAAUUGCCCACAACAUACUAAUGCAGUUUGGAAUCUGCAAUCUACCAAGACAUCCAUUUCCAAAAUGUAGAUUGGAAGCUAAAUACAAGCAACGGAGAUUGUUGUGCCACAACGCCCAAGUUAGCACAAACUGAAUGUUUCUAUUAUUUCCACCCGCCGCAACUAAAGGAAAUUUCAUUUCAGGAUAACAAAAGAGCCUUACAAUGCAGCAAGGUAAACUUUGUGCAGUAUCAGCUGAUUGAUAUCCAAAUUCAUUUCCAACAAUAUCGUAACCUCACCUUUGACGCACACACAUUCCUUUUUCUUACUUCUUCUUCCCCUUUCCUUGACCGCCCUUCGCCAAAAUGGCCCGAUGGGGCCUGCGUCUGCGCGUAAAAGCAAACUCCCCAAGCUUAUGGCCGACCUUCCCCUCGGUGAUCUUGCAACGGACAUGAGUCUUGCCGUUGUAAAUGAGCACGGAGGAACCGACGAACUCCGGCAGGAUGGAAGACCUGCGAGACCAGAUCUUCUUGCCGUUGAGAUUCUCCCUCUUGUUCUUUAUUCUUUGCAGGAAAGCGUCGACGAACGCUCCCUUCCAUAGAGGCCUUGAGCUGCACACACACAGGACAGCAAGGCAGGGCAUACAUUCGAUUCAAUUUCAAUGUUGAGAGGAUCAGCUAGUUAGUUAUCUGUGCACAUACAUAGUGAGCUGAGCCUUGUAAUGGUGGUUACCUGAAGGCGCGAGUGAGAGGUCCGAAGCCGGAGAGCAGCGGAGAUGCGGCGUGCUGGGCCCUGGGCGCCUGACCACGACCAGAUCGCGAACGCGGUGGAACAAACCAACAAAUCAGAUCAACAUCGGCGCAGGAACAACCAAAGAUUUGCAUUUGAGCAAGGAGCAAGAGUUGGAGGGGGAGGGGGCACCUGAGAGAUGGCCGCGGCCGCGGCGGCAGGGAGGGCGUGGCCGGACCUGGCGAACCUGGAGGCGAUGAGAGAAGCAAUCGCCAUGGCUGCUGGCGGCGGCGGCGGCUGGCGUGGAGACCGGAGAGACGGAGAGGAAGAGGAGGAGCAAACCUUCCUUACCGGAACCACACUGUAAGCGGGCCAUGGCCUUUGGCCCAACCCGUCAGAUGCAGACCUGGCCAAACGGGCCGGCCCAGCACGUGCUAAUCGUGCCUGGCCCGGCACGGCCCGCCAUGGCACGUUUAAUAGCCGUGCCGUGCCGUGCCGGCCCACGGGAGUGGCUCUCUGGCCCAGGCACGGCCUGACUAUUAAACAGGCCGGCCCGUGGCACGUUUAGCACGCUAGCCCAUCUGAUUUUUAGCCUAUUGGGCUGUAUUUUAGGCCUAUUAGGCUGUAAUUUAGGUCUUAUAUAUAUAAAAAAUCUGAAAAGAAUUAAACGGGCCGUGCCGUGCCGGCCCGCGUGCCCAGCCUCCAGGCCCAGGCAUGGCCCAUGGCGUGCCGUGUGCCGGGCCUAGCCCGUUUAGCUCGGGUCGUGCCGUGCCUGGGCCAUGUCGUUCCUGCGUGCUACUGGGUCGGCCCAGUUAGCACGGCCCGUUUGGCCAGCUAUAGUCAGAUGAAGAUGGACCAGCCCUAUUUUCUUGUGUAGAAAAAAAGGAGCUAAUCUUUCCGAUAAAGCCCCUGGACUUCUCAUGAAUUACAAAAAGAUCCGACCAGCGUGAAAAUUUGCCUCCCCCGACUUUUUGGUAAUUGCAUCAAAUUUGAAAUUUUACAUUUUAGUCCUCGUAGUUAACUUUAAUUUUCUAUUGGUAAAUGCUUUCUAGCGCUUUUAAAUAUGAUUAUUUUUGUAGCUUUUAUUAUGUAAGUAAUCUGAAAUUGCUUUAAUCAUGAAUUGUUGCUAGUAAUCAUACUAUACGCGUGGAAAGCUGGAACUGGAUUAUUACUUUGAAAUACGCUACCAUUAUGUACAUAUAUUGCCAUGUUAUUUACCCGAAGUAAAUUUGUAUGACUUUAUUAACAAAGAAUUUGUUGAAGUUAGCAUUGAUGGGCACAACUAUCUCGCCUGGAGAUCGGAUGUUGAAAUCGUACUGAAAGGAAGAGGUUCUGGAAACACUGUCGCCGAAGGUGCAGUCGAUUGUGCAUUAUGUCGUGCCUUGUUGUUUACCGUAUCGGUUGCUUAUUUCCACUUUUGCUUUUUCCCAAUAGCUUUCGGUAACGAUACGGAGUGCGGGGAUUUGUUCGACUAUGAUUUGUGGUUUCUAUCUUCUUCAAAAUGGGAUUGCGGGCACGAACGAUCAUUACCUUGGAAACCAUUACUAGCUUUGCUUGCUAGAUGUCCUGAUGCUAUUGUUUGGUCUCGCUACCUAUCACUUGUUUGCAAGCCUCCAUUUGCCACUUGUCUACAAACUAUGCUGCCAAAGCUCGGUUUUAGAAGGAAUUGGGUCAGCCUUAUAAUGAAGUGUGUGACCACAGUUAGAUAUCAGAUUAAAGUCAAUGGAGUUGUAACUCAGCAGUUAGGCCAUCUAGUGGACAGCGGCAGGGGGACCCUCUGUCUCCCUAUCUAUUUGUCAUAUGCACUGAAGGACUCUCUGCCUUGUUACAUGUGACUGAGGAGGAAGGAUGGCGUCCGUAUUUGCCAAGCGGCACCAAGUGUUUCACAUCUAUUUUUUGUAGAUGAUUCGAUGAUCAUGUUAAAGGCGACAUAGGGGGAUGCCAGUACCUAUCGAGGACCGUAUCUGAUUACAUGUGUUAGUGAGGUUAUCUGCCCAAUCACGGGGGGCCCUGGGAUGAGCAGCUUGUUAAGGAUAUCUUCCAGUCGGAUGAUGUGCGGUAUAUUAUGUAAAUUACCCUACACGAAGGAGUGACUGACUUUGUGGCUUGGCACUUCGACCGCAAAGGAAACCAUAAUGGUAAGAGUGCUUAUAAAUUGUACAUUUGAAUCCAAAAGCAAGAAGAAAGGAAUGGGGCUGCCGACAACAGUGUUGUAGCAGCUGGAUCUCUGGAUAGGUGGGACGACCAAUCCUGAAGAAAAUAUGAAAACUAUCGUGCCCACGCAAAAUUCAGAUGCCCACCUGCUGUGUGAAACAUGAAUCAUUAGCAUACUAUACCAACUUGGUGAAGAGAGGCGUCAAGCUUGAGAACACCAAAUGCUUCUUUUGUGGGUGAGUGGAUGAAGAUGGAACACAUCUUUUUGUCAAAUGCAAAGCCAUCAAGGAAGUCUAAAGGGAGAUGAAUCGCAUAGAGGUUCGCCCCCUCGAGGUAUUUUUGAAAUAACUUGGGCUAGUCCUCAAAAAUCGUUGCCCCCCUACCUAGCAGGCAGCCGUCCACCACGGGGCAACUCAAGGUUUUGGCUCACUGUCCACUUAGCAUAGAUGGAUGGGUCCAAGGAUAGAGUGCGUGUGAGCUAGGUAGAGACCCACCAGGAGGCCUUUGUGGACUAGGUUUACAUUAGAUCGAGGACUUGCUACACGGGACUCCUAGAACGCAUCAUGUUUACACGUUGAUGAAGUUUCUGGGUAUGCAUGCAACAAUCUAUGAUGGAGGAAUUGAAGCACCCCUACAGUGUUAAAUCUUUCGAAAGUCGUGUCCACAGUUAUAGACGACUUGGAAAUUUAUAACAUCUGAUUGUAGAGAACUUUAACUAAUAACUAAACCUUGCCAACUGUGUGUGUACUGUCAUUUUCUCUUCUUAUGAGUUUGGGAUCAAGAAGAGGACAAAGUGGGGUUAGGAAUGACUCGUAGGUUGGUGUUCAGGAUCACUUAUGCACCCGCUCCCCCCUUUUGCGUAGAACUUAUCUUAUCUUGUUCUAGUACUAGUUGCUUUAAAAAUGCUUAGUGCUUGCUACAACCUCACCACUUAACCAUAUCUAACCUUUUAAGUAUUGUUAGUUAUGAUACCCUUGGUAAUGAGACUUGUUGAAUCCAAAAGGCUGGCGCAUACUACAACACCACCAGAUGCAGGUACAAUGUAAAGUGAUGCUCUAACGUGAGAGUGAUGUACGUUCUAUUUGGAGUUCUUCGAUGAUGAUCAUUAGGAUGGGAUCCCGGUUGGCAGCCUGGGAUUAGUGGGGUGGAUGUUGCUUAUUUCUCUUGCCUCUUAGGCAUAUUCUCUUCUUAUCCAUACUCGGAUUGUGCCUUUUGGAUGAUGCUUGUAAUGUAAUGUUGGGUCAUGUGACCUUUGAUUGGUGAUAUAGCUAUGUAUGGUAUUUGUAUGCCGUAUGUUUAUUCGUGUAUCUCAUCUUUUCAUGUGUAGUUGUAUUUGUUGUGAUGUCCACCUUGUUUCUGACAUGUGACACCUGCAUGUAUGGUAUUAGUCACAUGUUGGGGCAACCAAUAUGCGCUUCUAUCCUUAGCAAGGAUUGAAAAAUCUUUAAUGAGACUAGGAUCGCAUGUUGGGCAUUACACAACAGUAAGGCAAGAUGCAUCCGACAUAGUCACACACAUUGCUUGGGAUACCGGUGCAUCGCUAAAGUCAGCCAUUUACCGUCUAUAGCCCUUAAAACAAUUCCCAUAACAUGGGGUAUUGCGGUCUAGGGUCAGAGAAGGGCCGAGGGAGGCUUCAGAUACCUCCUGGUCCUAGUUGAAAGUUCACCAAGUUGAAAGAGGCAAAGCUGGUCACUAGUCAAGUUGUCGAGCCGGUCAUCAAGUUCCUAUCAGGUUUCAUACAUCAUUAUGGCAUGCCCCACGGCAUUGGCACAGACAACAUGAGGGAUUUCACGUCCAAGAAGUUCAAAUAUUGUUGCGCUUCAUGCAAUAUUACAUUAAAAUUUGCUUCUGUGGCGCACCUGCAAUCCAAUGGGCGUAUCGAGCAGGCAAAUGGAUUGGUCCUCGGUGGAUUAAAACCGGUGUUGGUCACAUCACUGGAGGAAGCCGACGGGAAGUGGAUUGACGAGCUUGAUUCUGUCUUGUGGAGCCUCACGACUACGCUAAAUGACCUACCAACUACACUCCUUUUUUAUGAUAUAUGCAGCAAAGCCAUCCUUCCCAGCGACAUCAAACAUGACGCUCCCUGCUUACAUCGCUACAUGGAGAAUGGUGUUGAGUUGGAGUGUCAGGAUGACAUAGAUCCCUUGGAGGAAGCACGGGAGAUCGUAGUAGCCAGAUUGGAUAUCUAGCAACAUCAACUUCGCUGCUAUCAAGCGCACGAGGUAUGAGUCUAGGCAUUCAACAUCGGCGACCUCAGUUUACGGAUGAUACAGGACACGAAGGGGCUGGACAACCUUUCACCGCCAAGGUACAGACCCUUCAUCAUGCACAAAGUGCUAUAGAAUGGAGCAUACCAAAUCCGAUGCGUUGAGACCGUCUUCCUCGAGACGAACCCCUGGAACAUUGCCCUGAUAAGUUGCUUUUAUGCUUAGCUCUUUUCAUUUUUAGUUUAGAUUAUUGUUUAGCUCAAUCCAUACAUUAUUGUAUGAAUUAAAUGAAGUUUAUCUAUCCCCAAGUCGAAGAAUCGUAUAUAUUAUUGUCCCUUUAUUUAAUUUUGAUCGUGAUCAAUAAUUUACCCUGUCCAUCUUGCCUAGUUGUUUGAUUAUGUUCCUUCAGGCCGCACUCCGGGGCUGUUACAGCCAUCAUUCAAUUUGCGCCGCUAGCCGGCUUAAGUGUUUUCUUCCUUAGUUGUUUGCCAGACUUUUCUGUCAUGAGAUAUUUGACUUGUGUCUUAGCCAAGUUGGGUCACCCUACUCCACCAUUUUUCGUUAGUCCACUUGGUCGGAGCACUCUUACGUCGCAGUUGCAGCUCUCUUGAUUGGCUACAGAUCGAGGAGCUAAAACCACAGACUAGCCGACAAAAUACAUAAAUUUAGAAAACAAAAAAUGUUAAGGCACAACAGAAGAACAAAUUAAUUUUAAGACCAACUUGGUUGGCACCUAAUUUAUUCAGUAGAUUAGAAUUGCAUGAAACUCGGAAUGUCGAGGUAGCAAUGUAAAAAACAGUAAGCCUGAAUUAAAUCAAGUCGCAAUCUACCUCGAUGGUCUGGGUGUACUACAGGAUGGCAUCGAAGAGGACCUCUAGCUUCACCUUGUUCCCAUUGGCAUUCUAUAGGGUAAAAGGAGUUGAACUCAUGGGUUGGGAAGUGGUCUUUAAGCGUUGCCCAUGCUUGCUGGGCUCCUUCCCGAGCAGCUAAGGACUUCCACUCUGUGAUCCGGGGAGCAGCUCCUCGCAGACGCAUGGUGAGACCAAAGGAAUUGUCCAGGGUGGCUUCUAUGGGCCACAGCAUCAUGAAAAUUCCCUUGCCGGCCUUGCAAGUGCCACCAGCUCCCCAACUGCUUCAGCUUAUUGUGGUAUCCUGGAAUUACGCCUUGAAUGCAUGAAGUUCCCCUUGCUCAGGAUCAUAAACUCACUGGUAGAACUGAUGGGCACUGGCCGAGCUUGGUGGGAGAUCUGCAAAAUAUCUGUGUCGUGUCAUAUCUGGAUUAGCUCUACAUAGCCUCGAGAACCAAAUAUGCAUUGAAGGAGAUAGGACUUACCAAUUGCUAUCUCGCCGGCCUGCCUAAUCUCUUUUCGGCACUUUCUCGGUACAUGUGGGCCUCCCAGAGGGUGUGUUGCAUCAGCUUCACCUCCUUGGCUAGGCUGGUCUUCCCAGCCGUCGGUUGGUCAUACUUUUGUCAAGAUCCUGCUGCAGCAGGCCGGAAGUACCACGGGCGGCCUGACUCGGCCCUUGUUGUUGCAUAAGUUGGGCUUUGGUUUUGUUGGCCUCUUCCCGGGCAAAUUUGAUCUACUGAUUGCUAGUGUCGAGCUGGCUUGCAAUUGGAUGAUGCGCUUCGGACAAUUUUGAAGUUAUCAACAUAAGAUACACACACACACACACACACACACACACACACACACACACACACACACACACACACACACACACGUGGUUGGGGCGCCACCCUGUGGCGCCGUUUGAGAGGAAGUUGUGCGCAUGUUUUCAUUUUAAAAAAAUAGAGUCCUCGCCGUCUAAAAAUACAUCUUAGAAAAAAAAUCCUCACCUUCAUCUAAGAAAAAAAAUUAAAAAAGAAAAUAUAUAUACCACCGCAGCCUACCAGCGAGUGCCACUUUGCAUAACCCUCCAUUUAAAAAAUACGAGAGAUCCUCACAUUCAUCUAAAAAAUACAUUUAGAAAAUAAUCUACACCUUCAUCUAAAAAAAGUCCAAAAGAUUUCUCACCGCAACCAACCAGCUUACGCCACAUGGCAUAGCUGGUUGGCCACCCUUCGCGCGUAGCUUAAUGUGUUUAAUAUUAUGCACAACCUGAAAAGGGAGAAGUGAUGACUUACCGACGGCAUCACCAAUAUUUUUCUCAAGGUUCUGCACCUUGAGUCGGAGUUAGCCAGCAUCUUCUUCAGCUUCUCCACCUCUUUGGAGAGGCAGGUAUUCUCUAGGGUUGCGUUCUGUACAUGGAAAGUUUGAAAACAUUAAAGACAGUCAGACAAGCUUUCGAGGGAGAUUCGAUCCUGACGUCAGCUCUUCAAACAGACAUCAAUCCCGGGGGCUACUUGAUAUGUCUCAAACGUAUCUAUAAUUUUUUAUUUUUUCAUGCCUUGUAUAUCAUUUUGGCCUAGUUUUGGCAUUAUUUUUUAUCAUUUUUAUAGACUAACCUAUUAAUCUAGUGCCCAGUGUCAGUUGUUGUUUUAUGCAUGUUUUCAGACUUCUAGGGAAGUCAAUUUUAUGUAGCUCCCUUUUCUCAUGUGAAAACAAACUUUUUUAUAACAUAAAUUGUUUGUUAUAUACUUUCUGUUUCACCUUUUACCUUAGUGCAUCUACCAUGAUUGAAAACCUGUACAUGUCUUUUUGCGGGAUUCCACCUAAUUCUUCAAACAACGAUAUUUCGUGUUCUUCCACCGUUUAAAUUAGAGAAACUCAUAAGAAAUUCAUAGAUCCAAUGGCAACAACGAAGAACACAAAAGAACUACUGUUUUUUCUCAAAAAAAUAAGAACAUGUGUUUUUCACAUUCAAACGGAAGUUCACGCCUCAAUACACCGUUGGAUACAUUGUUGAGGAUGAAAGGAAAUGGGGCACUAUAUAUCAAGGUCGUGCUAACCAAAGAAAACACCCAAAAAACAAAAUCAAAUAGAUCCUACUAAGAAUAUGGUUCAUGCUACAAAUUGCUAUAAUUUCAUCAUACAAUGUAUAUUUAUAGCAUCAAUAAAUUUGACUCAUCGAUGUAUCAAUUUUAUAUGAAAUCUACCGUAUUAUUGAUUCAAAUGUUAUAAUCUUUGCAAUGUGAAUGUUACUCAGGAUCACAAAAUAUUGCAGUACCAACGCACAGGAUAUUAUCUACUCCCUCCGUUCCAAAAUAGAUGACUCAACUUUGUAUUAACUUUAGUACAAAGUUAGGUCAUCUAUUUUGGAACGGAGAGAGUAGUUACCGUGAAAAUCCUUACUUAGGACAUGUCUUGUAAAAAAGUGGAACAGCAGCACAUGAUGAUAUAUAUGUAUGACUUGGAAGAUUGCUAUAAGUUUUGAUGUUAUGACUGGAGUGGAUUAAACUAGCAUCAAAUCUUUUUUUAGGGGAAGCAUCAAAUUGGUUUCGUGCUGUACUUUUGGUGUAUGGCAGCUACUCGUACGAUCCGGAGAUUCUUUAACGGAUGAUAAUAUACAAGUUCUCAACCGCUCAAACUAAAACGUUGUAAAGGUUUCGUGGUGUAGUUGGUUAUCACGUCAGUCUAACACACUGAAGGUCUCCGGUUCGAAGCCAUCAAAUUAUUUUUUUUGUUUUUUCCAUUGUGCACAAAAAAAAGAGAAAACAAAAAAAAUUUAAUGGCCCAUACAGGUCUCGAACCUGUGACCUUCGCGUUAUUAGCACGACGCUCUAACCAGCUGAGCUAAUAGGCCUUUUUGUUCUAUUAUACGUUUUUACUCCUUGUAUCAUUUAUAGUAUAGAACGGGUAACUAGUUGGAGCGAUCUCCAAUACACAGCAACAAAUCUUGGUCCUUGCAAUAUAGAUUCGCAUUCACUGUCCACGUUUCAACUUUCAAGUAUUCGUCACUGUUGGGGCCUUUUUGUCAUUGUUUCUUUUAUUUGAUGGACAUGCAAACCAUUUUGCCAAAGCCACCUAGUAAUAAAGACAUAUGUGCAAGUGGGCAAGUAAUGUCCACCAAAAAAGCCAGACCCAUCAUGUCGAUAGUGCAGCGAUCUAAGCACUCAAAUCUGUCUCGACUUCUGCAUCGAAAGAUGGACACGACCAAAUUUGGUUCUCAGUUAUGAGCGAGGACACUUUCUCAUGGAAGAACUAUGUUUUCACGGUAUCCCUCCCUUCUCUAUACCUAGAUCGGAAUAUAGUGUCUGGCGUUCAAGAUGACAUAUGAAACAUCGGUCACCACCGGGUUACAUGGCCAGUUGGCCACCUCACUUAACUGAUCAUCAUAGCAUUGAUCUUUGGUCUGCGUCGUUUAUAUCAAUGUACAUAUACACAAGGAUGCACUUGAUCGAGAGCUCGGCGUCACUAUGUUGGCUACGGCGAGCCGGGUGCUCGGUGCAGUUUGGUCUGGAGGCGGAUGGGUGGUGCAGACAUGGACAACUGGUGCUUUAAUGGCAGAGGCUAAAUCUGUGGCAUGAGUCUGGCUACUCUUCAAUGGCCAUGGCGGUGAUAUGCUGGAAGACAUCCACUCUUGCCACUGGCGGCGGGGGUGAGACACUACUCGGGAGGUGGUUGGCUAGGUAGCUCCAUGGGACAUGUGCUUCUAUGGUUCAUGGUAAUGUGGAGUGCCGGGAGAGGCGUGUGACCUCCAUCGGUGGACACCACGGCGGUUCUGGCAGAGUACGGGGGUGCAACUCCUGGAAGAUCCCUCUGCAAAGAUAGUGCUUGGAACAACGCUUCAUGUUUAGGGUGAAAACUUUUGUUCUUACCUUUACUGGUUGGACUCAACAACAACAAAAUUGUGGCAUUCGCUGUUCAAGGUGUUGUCCCUACCGAUAUUCUUUCCUUUAUUGGUUUGUCUUGGUACCUAGGAUGUGAAAAUCCUUGUCCUGGAUGGACGAGGUGAUGGUUGCACGAGAAUGUUAUUCCUUUUUAAAGGCGUUGCUGCGGAAAAAGUCCGACUUAAUCAUAGGUUUUUUCUUGAUAUCUUGUUAUGGUUCGGCAAUAGUUGUAUAUGUCUUGUGCUUUGCUUGUUGAUGACUUUGGCAUCAUUGCUUUGCGCGGACUUUAAUAAGAUAUGGUUUAGUCUGAGGAUGUUGAUGCCAAGAGGUUUAGCGUUCCUUUUAUAAAAAGAAAGAAAGAUAAAGCAUAAGCAUAGAGAUAAAAAAUGCAUAUUGAUCGUAUGAUGAGAAGAAAAUAUCAAGAAAAUGAUGAACACGUAGAAAAACAUAAGGGGCAAGGAUGAAAAAUCAUCUUUGCUCGUAGGAGGCAUCAGCAAAAUGCAGCAAUAAAAAUAUUAGUCCUUACCUAGUUUCUCAUUACACAUUCCAUGCUUGUGAGUAUUUGUCUUUGUUGGAAUCUUUUUUUACACUGUUUCUGACUUUAUGUGAUGUGAUGUGUGCGCAAAUCAUCAUGCAACGAUAAGUGCAUACAUAGAAGCAUGCGAAUAAUGGAAGGUGCAUACGGCACUCAAUGCGCAUCUCGAUCGAGAUCAUCAUAUCGGGUUUACAGUUGUAUGCACGAGCCAAAAAGAAUCACUCACGGUCACUGUAUCAUAGGUUGCACACAGCCAAACUCCGCAAGGAAGUCAUAUAUACCUCUGAAAAAGCAAAAGUUUUCAUGAUAUCCCUCCCUUCCCUAUAUAUACCUGGAUGGAAAAAUAACGGCUGAUGUGGAGCACCCAAGACACGAAGUGAAAUAUUGGAGAUAUUAAUCUCCACUACGUGUAGUCAUCAUAUGUGUACAAUUGUGUAAGGAAAAUAAUCAAGCCAAGAACUGUGUAGCCAUAGAUAGANNNNNNNNNNNNNNNNNNNNNNNNNNNNNNNNNNNNNNNNNNNNNNNNNNNNNNNNNNNNNNNNNNNNNNNNNNNNNNNNNNNNNNNNNNNNNNNNNNNNNNNNNNNNNNNNNNNNNNNNNNNNNNNNNNNNNNNNNNNNNNNNNNNNNNNNNNNNNNNNNNNNNNNNNNNNNNNNNNNNNNNNNNNNNNNNNNNNNNNNNNNNNNNNNNNNNNNNNNNNNNNNNNNNNNNNNNNNNNNNNNNNNNNNNNNNNNNNNNNNNNNNNNNNNNNNNNNNNNNNNNNNNNNNNNNNNNNNNNNNNNNNNNNNNNNNNNNNNNNNNNNNNNNNNNNNNNNNNNNNNNNNNNNNNNNNNNNNNNNNNNNNNNNNNNNNNNNNNNNNNNNNNNNNNNNNNNNNNNNNNNNNNNNNNNNNNNNNNNNNNNNNNNNNNNNNNNNNNNNNNNNNNNNNNNNNNNNNNNNNNNNNNNNNNNNNNNNNNNNNNNNNNNNNNNNNNNNNNNNNNNNNNNNNNNNNNNNNNNNNNNNNNNNNNNNNNNNNNNNNNNNNNNNNNNNNNNNNNNNNNNNNNNNNNNNNNNNNNNNNNNNNNNNNNNNNNNNNNNNNNNNNNNNNNNNNNNNNNNNNNNNNNNNNNNNNNNNNNNNNNNNNNNNNNNNNNNNNNNNNNNNNNNNNNNNNNNNNNNNNNNNNNNNNNNNNNNNNNNNNNNNNNNNNNNNNNNNNNNNNNNNNNNNNNNNNNNNNNNNNNNNNNCACCCACCCUCUCACCUGUUUGCAUUACUUUCAUCCGCAAUUAACACAAAUUGAGUUGAUUUGUGAUAUGUGUUAAAAGCCUAGUGUGUGAUCUAUUUGUUAACAUAUUUUCUUAUUUGGCCGCACAUGGCAUGAAAAAACAUAAAUUUCUACAAGCGUGCAUAAUACUCAAUCAAGUAUAUUAGGAUUUGUUUUGAGUCUUCCAAACCAUGACAAAUAAAGGAGAGAAAAAAUCCAGCGAGGCUAAUGAGCCCGAGGUCAGCUAGAAUCCUAUAUACCUAAAUAGUUGAUCUCUACUAUCUCAAUUGUCUUAACAUGCACACAUGCCACAUCAUCAUCCCACUAUUAUUUAUGUUAACAUGCAUGAGAAAUGAUAUUUAUAUUCUCUAUCAACAUGCGCACAUCUCAACUCUCCACACAUGCUACCUCUCCUCAAUCAUAGUAAUUAUAUUUCUCUCAACAUGCAUGGGAAAUAGUACUUAUCUCUGUAUAUAUUCACAACUAUAUAAUAAUCAAAUAAAAAUGUGUCAUAUCAAUUUUAAAUUUCAUCAAAAAAGUACUGCAAGAAUUCUCCGCAGAACCGCACGGGAAAUCAUCUAGUUUAUCAGUACCAAAGGCUUAAUCUAUCUAGGAAAAACAAUGUCCGGAUUCCCAAACAAUCAUGACGUCUUUGGUUCAAAGGAAUCGUACAGAACUCUUGUAGGGUUCUGUUUGUCAGAAAUUUUCCUAUGUGACUUGUUUGACCCUAGAAACAAUCAUGACUCAAAAGAAAAUUUCCAUUGAAUUAAACAUUGUCGUUCAUUUGUUCAAUGACAACUUGGUGCUUACACCUAAUGCUUAAGAAAAUUCUUGUAUUUUUCUGUGGUGCAACAAAGCAACAUCUAUAGAUUACAUGUUCCUAUAUUUUUCGAUUCUCAUAGGAUUAAACACACCAUGACAUCAAAUUCCUACGCUAAUUUUUCCGGUUUCUUUGCCUUUGAAACCCCAUAAUCGAAAGAGGCCCAAAUUAUCCAAAUAUAGUGGAAGUGUGACAGAUACUGAAAUACCUAUAGAAUAGAGAUGAAACUGUUUGUAAAUUCAGCAUGUAACACUUAAACAACAAAAGAGUUUCUAGACCUAUUCUAUACCAAGAGGUACCAAGACUUGCAGUGACCUCAGUGUGAGCGGAAGACACUUUUUGCCUCCCAAAAAUCGAAAAGGCCAAGGGUUAACGGCCUAUGUGCAUAAUAGAGUUAUUUAAUAUUUGGUAAGGUUUAGGGACUGAUGUCUACUACACAACCUUCUUCUUGUAGACGUUGUUGGGCCUCCAAGUGCAGACGUUUGUAGGACAGUAGCAAAUUUCCCUCAAGUGGAUGACCUAAGGUUUAUCAAUCCGUGGGAGGUGUAGGAUGAAGAUGGUCUCUCUCAAACAACCCUGCAACCAAAUAACAAAGAGUCUCUUGUGUCCCCAACACACCCAAUACAAUGGUAAAUUGUAUAGGUGCACUAGUUCGGCGAAAAAAUGGUGAUAUAAGUGCAAUAUGGAAGGUAGAUAAUGGUUUUUGUGAUCUGAAAAUAUAAAAACAGCAAGGUAACUAAUGGUAAGAGUGAGCACAAACGGUAUUGCAAUGUGUUGAAACAAGGCCUAGGGUUCAUACUUUCACUAGUGCAAGUUCUCUCAACAAUAAUAAUAUAAUUGGAUCAUAUAACUAUCCCUCAACAUGAAACAAAGAGUCACUCCAAAGUCACUAAUAGCGGAGAACAAACAAAGAGAUUAUGUGUAACGCCCUCGAUGCGGCUAUAUCUCCCACGUGUCGAAGCACGACUUAGAGGCAUAACCGCAUUGAAAGCAAUGUCGCAAGUGAGGUAAUCUUCACACAACCCAUGUAAUACAUAAAGGAAAGAGAUACAUAGUUGGCUUACACUCGCCACUUCACACAAUUACAUGAAUAAAGCAUUACAUCGUCCAGAUACAAUCAAGGUCUGACUACGGAACCAAAAUAAAAGAAGACUACCCCAAAAGCUACACAGAUCCCCGAUCGACCCCAACUGGGCUCCACUACUGAUUGACUAGAACAAAACAACAUAAAGGACAAGAUCUUCAUCGAGCUCCUCCUUGAGCUCGGUUGCGUCACCUGGAAUGGCAUCAUUGGCACCUGCAAGCUGGUUUUGGAAGUAUCUGUGAGUCACGGGGACUCAACAAUCUCACACCCUCGCAAUCAAGACUAUUUAAGCUUAUGGGUAAGGUAAAAGGUAUAAGGAGGAGCUGCAGCAAGCGACUAGCAUAUAUGGUGGCUAACAUACGCAAAAGAGAGCGAGAAGAGAAGGCAAAAGCACGAUCGAGAAACUAUGAUCAAGAAGUGAUCCUAGAACAACCUACGUCAAGCAUAACUCCAACACCGUGUUCACUUCCCGGACUCCGCCGAAAAGAGACCAUCACGAUUACACACGCGGUUGAUGCAUUUUAAUUAAGGUCAACUUCAGGUUUUCUACAACCGGACAUUAACAAAUUCCCAUCUGCCCAUAACCGCGGGCACGGCUUUCGAAAGUUCAAAUCCCUGCAGGGGUGUUCCAACUUAGCCCAUGACAAGCUCUCACGGUCAACGAAGGAUAUUCCUUCUAGAGGGAAGACCCAAUUAGACUCGGAAUCCCGGUUACAAGACAUUUCGACAGGGUAAAACAAAUCCAGCAACACCGCCCGAUACGCCGACAAAUCCCGAUAGGAGCUGCACAUAUCUUGUUCUCAGGGCGCACCGGAUAGGUCAAGCUACGAGUAAAACCAACCCUCGAGUUACCCCGAGGUGGCCCCGCAGGCUGCUCAUUUCGGACCAACACUCAGAGGAGCACUGNNNNNNNNNNNNNNNNNNNNNNNNNNNNNNNNNNNNNNNNNNNNNNNNNNNNNNNNNNNNNNNNNNNNNNNNNNNNNNNNNNNNNNNNNNNNNNNNNNNNNNNNNNNNNNNNNNNNNNNNNNNNNNNNNNNNNNNNAAGGGAAGGUGGUAGGUUGUUAGUGCAAAUGGUAAAACCAAGGUUGGGCAUUGCUGGAGGAGUUUUAUUCAAGGCGAACUGUCAAGGGGUUCCCAUUAUUACCCAACCGCGUAAGGAACGCACAAUCCGGGAACAUAACACCGAUAUGACGGAAACUAGGGCGGCAAGAGUGGAACAAAACACCAGGCAUAAGGCCGAGCCUUCCACCCUUUACCAAGUAUAUAGAUGCAUUAAUUAAAUAAGAUAUAUUGUGAUAUCCCAACAAGUAAACAUGUUCCAACAAGAAACAACAUCUCCAUGUUCCAACAAGGAACAAACUUUAAUCUUCACCUGCAACUAACAACGCUAUAAGAGGGGCUGAGCAAAGCGGUAACAUAACCAAACAACGGUUUGCUAGGACAAGGUGGGUUAGAGGCUUGGUUCAACAAUAUGGGAGGCAUGAUAAGCAAGUGGUAGGUAUCGCAGCAUAGGCAUAGCAAAAGAGCGAGCAUCUAACAAGCAAAGAUAGAAGUGAUUUCGAGGGUAUGGUAAUCUUGCCUGAGAUCCCGCAAGGAAGAAGAACGAGUCCAUGAAGAAGACAAACGAACGUAGAAGAACGGGUCCUCACAAACGCGACGUUAUCGGAACCAACCCGAAGAAGCAAACACCGGAAAGAAGCACACAACAUAGUAAACAACCAACACAUGAACAUGGUAUGAUAUGCAGGAUGCGGUAUGUGAUGCAUAUGCAUGAUUUGACGAGGAAUGAUUGAACCUGGCCUCAACUUGGAAAUCCAAGAGUGCCACUGGAAAGAUGAGGUGACUUCGGUUGAAAUCGAUAUAAAGAUCACCGGAAUCGGAUGCACGGUUUGGAAAUGGCAAGCAAAACAAAUAUGACACCGGUCUGCGAUAAACAGCAAGUAGCCACCUAAAUGCAUUAAGAUAAUUAUGCUACAGCACUCAAACAUGGCAACAAAAUACAUGGCAGGGAUCCAUUCAUGAAGCUUAACAAAAGAUGAAUACUGAGCUACGGCCAAUUCAUCCAUUAACAGGUUCAUACAAGCAUGGCAAAAGUGCAAACGGUAAACAGAUUUCAGACUUAGUGAAAUUAACACUAGUCUGCAAUUUCAGAUCAGGUAGCACACUUUGGAGCACGAAAACUAUAUGCUACAGGGCCUGAACAUAGAAAAGCAAAGCAUGGCAUGGGGCUACUCAAAGAGCUUAACAAAAGUCCCUUAGUGACCUUGAGCCAAAAGAGAUCAGAAAAUACAAUUACAAGCAUGUGAACAUGGCAAAAACAUAAUCAGAUCACAAACUUAGUGAAAAACUGGAGCAUGCGAAUAUGAUAGCAAGUAGGCAUGUUUACGAGCUCAAUGCACUCACUACAGAGCAAGGCAUGACAAUCUAAGCAUACACCCAUCAAGAAUACACAUUAUGAAAGCUAGACAUGACAAGAACAACAACAUAGCAUGCACGGAUCAACUACAACAUCCUCGGCAAAAUCGCUAACAAGUAGACAAUCUGCUCAGAUUCACGAAAUAGCAAAAGUAGAGCUCGACUGACUCAAGCUAGGGUGCUCCAUAAUUGCAAACAAAGACAUGGAUGGAUAGAGCACCACAAGAUUAACAAAUCACCCUUACUGAUCAUCCUCAAAAGAAGCAUGGAUCACUAGGAAACAACAUGAACAUAUGGCAUAUUGAUAAAAGCAGGUCAAGGACUUAGUGGAAUUGCUAAGUCCCUGAAAUCAGCAUUAACGAAUGCACCACUUUGCAAGCUUGUGCUAGUCACCACACAUGUCACAAAAAUACAUGGAUGGCACCUUUGGAAAGAUGACAAAGCAUAUAACAAAACUCAUGAAAAGCUCAGGGGCAUAUCAUGCACACAAAAAUCAUGGCAAAAAUGACAAAUAGCUAACUAGAGCAGCAGAUCUGGCAAUUAUCUCAAAUAGCACUCUUCCAACAGCAUUUCGGGCAUCAAGAUGAGCUCAAAUGAAAAUGAUGCAAAGAGAUGAAAUGAUGUGCUCGCUGAGACGAACAUUUUGAUAUGCUACACGCCCAAAUCGGAUCUACGGAUGCAAAGUUACGAUGCGAUGAACAUGGCCAUAUGAGUAUGGUAAUUUCGGGGACUUAGUAGAAAUUCAGUGAGCGUCAAAUAGUAAAAAAUCGCGUGGGGUGGAAGAUGGCUGGACUGCUCACCACUGGGCUUGGCCCACGGGAAGAGGAGAAGGCAGGCCGGUGGGCCGGCUGGAGCUGUGCCUGGGAGGCCAAGGCCCACGCAGCCACGCAUGGUCAACGGGGAGGAGAUCGGGCUCCUCCCGAUCCAGUCUGGCCGACGAGCGGCGGCGCUCUCCGGCGAGGGCGGCGCGGCGCUGAUGGUGGAUGGAGCCGGGGCUGAAGGCACGGGGUUGAGGCCGGCAGAUCUGCAGCUGCGAGACCCAUUCCCAGGGCCAGCGGGACUCGACGGCGCCAGUGACGAGGAGAUCGGGAGCUCGGGCUCCAUGGCCGUCCAUGGCGCGACGAAGGCGGAACCGAGGUGGCGGCGAGGUGCGGAAGCCGAGGUGGCGGCGAGGCUUGCCGGCGACGCGAGCAGAGGCGCGAGGAGGCAGGCGCAGAGGGCGGCGCGGUGCGGGAUCCGGGAUGACCAUGUGGUGGCGGGGCGCUCCGGCGACCCGGCCGGUGAAGUCCGGUGAGUGGGCACGGUCGGCGGCGGGCGGAUCCGGGCUUGCGUGGGCCCAAACUGGGCUCCGCGGGCCGCAGCGGUAGAGGGAGCUGAGGUGGCAGCCUCUCGUUGGUGCGGCCGGCGACGAUGCUGACGUGGCAGCCCACGAUUGGCCGGGGCGACGUGGAGGAGAGCGGCGGACAUGUCCGGCGCGGCACAGAUGCGUCCGGACGCGCGGAAGAGGAGUGGAUCUAGGUUUAGACCCGGAUUUCAGGGGAGAUGCACAUAUUUAUAGGUAGAGGGAGCUAGGAGAGUCCAAAUGAGGUGCGAUUUUCGGCCACGCGAUCGUGAUCGAACGACCGAGAUGAUGGAGGAGGUUUUGGUGGGUUUGGGGCCAAAUUGGAGGGGUGUUGGGCUGCAACACACACGAGGCCUUUUCGGUCCCUCGGUUAACCGUUGGAGUAUCAAACGAAGUCCAAAUGGCACGAAACUUGACAGGCGGUCUACCGGUAGUAAACCAAGGCCGCUUGGCAAGUCUCGGUCCAAUUUGGAAAUGUUUAAUCCCCACACACGAAAGAAAGGUAGAAAGGACUACCGGAGGAGAUAGGAGCGCCGGAAUGCAAAACGGACAACGUGGAAAAUGCUCGGAUGCUUGAGACGAACAAGUAUGCAAAUGAAAUGCACAUGAUGACAUGAUAUGCAAUGCAUGACACGCAAGCAAUGACAAGGCAACAAUAGUGAAUAAACUGGAGGACACCUGGCACAUCGGUCUCGGGGCGUUACAACACUCCACCACUACGAGAGGAUCUCGUCCUGAGAUCUAGAAUGGCACCGGAGGGACAAUGGAAGAGAAAGAGAAGAGGUAAAACUAAGUUCCUCCUUUGACAACCGAGUGAAACCACAAACCUUGAAGAGGUUAAGCCAUUCCAAGAAAAGAAUACAACGGAGAUAAAUGAAGUUGAAGACACUCCGUUAGCAAAGAGGAACAAGGAAGAACAACUUUGAGCAGCACUCCGAUUGAAAGAGAUGCAAGAAAAGAUAAGUAGAAAGAACUUUAAAAGGGGCACGACACUCCGGUUAAACGGAUAAGCAAGGAAAAGAACAUAAUCUUUGACAAAACAAGAUGAUGAGUUUAAAAGAGCAACAUGACAAUGCGUCCGGAAGAGAGAAAUAGAAGAUAGAUCAUUGAGAAAAAAGAAUGGAGAAGAAAAUGCCAAGUUCUGUCACAAAAGAGCUUGACAAGGCAUCUUUAGGAGAAGGGUCGAACGGAGUUGUUGGAAAAGCCAACAACGAAAAGAAUAAGCUUGAUAUGAUCUUAUGGAAUACAUCUCAAAUUAUGAGGUGACAACCUGCCACUCACGGGAAAAGAAUUGUAUUGGUAAGAACAAGGAGACAAGAAAGUUAUUUCACCGAGAGGAUAAUGAAGAACUUGGGUCAAUUAUAAGCACCAUAAUUAGCAACAAUCCUUAGGGAAAGUUUUAGGUGAAAUAUAACCCAAGAUAACUCCAAUGAAGAGAUUGAUGGAUUUUUAAAUAACUCAUUCUUAACAACAUGUGAAUCAUGAGACAUGAACUCAAAUUAUCCAGAAUGACAUAACACCACCUCAAAUGAUACGGUAGAAGGAAUUGCACUCCGGAUUACAAUAUGAAGAAAGCUUGAGCUUCUUAGAAAAGAAUGUCGAUGAAAAACUUGGAGAAGGAAUUAAAUCCUUUAUGAACCAUCAUGUAGAACCUCCAUGAAGAACUCCGGUAACAAAAGGAUAACGAGAAGAAGAGGGAAGUUGAAAACACAAGGUGAAACCUUGUAAUGCUUUAGGUGUAUCUCCAUGAAGAUACAAUUGCGAGAGCUAGGAACUCUGGAAAAGAAAGAUAAACAAAUGAGAUCAAGAAUUUUGAUGAGCCUCUAGAAUAGGGAAUUAAUCACUUGAGUGAGGCAAAAGUAAGAAUUGUGUUAUGCGUACCCUUCACCAAUUAAAUUGAUGACAAACAAUGGAUUUGGCAUACUACUUACUCUCUUAGAAAGGAUUAAGAUAGAUAUUGCGGAAACUUGAAGAGGCCUUCAAUGAUCCACCGGUAGGAUUGGAACAUCGAAUUAAAUUGUUACGAUAACAAAGGAAGAGAAAAUCUUGAAUGAACCACCGUAAGAAUUAAAAAUGAACAAAGAAAAGAUAAGGAAGACACCGGGAAGAAUUAUAAAAAGAACGAAGAUACUUGAGAGGAUUUAGAUACAUGAGAACGAAGAGAUCACGAGCCGAUUAAAGAUCACUUGAACGAAGCAUCGGUAAAAUUAGGAGAACGAUAACUGAAAGCUGAGAAUGAAUAAACCUGAAUUGAUGGACUCCGGAUAAUCAAACUGAACAGAAUCUUGAAUUGCUCCGGAUGGGUCAAAAGAAUUCUCACAAACUAAAACAAUUAUGAGAGGAUGGCAUAACGCUAGAACCACGAAUCUUGAAGAGAAUGGAGCAAGAUUGAGAGAAAAAUCUUCUUUGGUCUUCCAAAAUGCGAAUGACAACGAGAAAUACCAUCAUGACUUAUUUAGGCACUCCAAAAGAAUCAAAACGACGAGGUUGAGCCAAUGAUGAAAUGAAUUUGAAAGAUCUUGGAGAAAAACAUUUGACUGAUGCCAAUUCAUUCUUACGCCAAACUUUAAAAAAAAUUGAGGAUAGCUCCGGGAGAAUUAGAAGAGUCAGGUAAGAUCCUGGGAAAAGACAUGUGGGUUAGGGCCCACUCAAAAGAAACACCGUUGAAUGAUUAAAAAGAGAGAUUGCACCGGUUGAAUUAAAAGGCUUGAAUGAGAUAACAUCCUCAAAAUAGCUUGAACGGAUUAAAAAUGGAAACACGAAUCUCGAGAUAUCUUCAGCACUCCAGAACAAUUGAAUAGCGAGAGGUGAAUGAUUAAGAAUUGCACCGGCAUGAGAAAGCAUUGAAAUACGGAAAAGAAUAUGAUCAACACCGAAAGCUUAAAUUGGUUCCACCGGAGAAGAAAAAAAAUGAAGGAUGAUGAACUUGAGGCCCGUUAGAAUCUUCAUGAGAAUCACCAGAUGUGAACAUUGAAAGAAAAGAAUGGAGAGACUCCCAUCGAUAACAUGGAUACUUGAUAAAGAAAUCUAGUUCCUUGAAGAAAAAGGGUGGGUGGGCGGGAAAAACAAAGGCAACUUGGAGACGGAUGAAACAAACACCGUUGAGAAGGACUGAUACUAGAUCUUGUGGAUGUUGAAAAUGGACGGAUCCACUUGAAGAGAAAACACGCCGGUUGAAAAGGAUUGACAUGACAAACUCGAUGAUCGAGAAGGAUUAGUAUUCACAUAGAAAUAUGAGAACACUACUUAGGAAAAGUAUGGAAUCAACACUUGACUUCGAAGCAACUCGAAUACCACAACUCAAAACAAAACAAGGAUUGGCUUGCAGAAUAAGCCAGAACAAACAUAUGAUAGAGAUUUCGUCCGAAGUUUUCGUGGUGGGGCCUACACGGGCUCGAUCGUACAACACCAUCAUGUACAAGGCAGUGCACAUGACAUAUGAAGCGUCCCCGAGUCAGCAUAGCCAAGGACUCUUUAAGACACAACGAGGCCACUGUAAAACCAACCGUGAAUAGGCGGACCACUAGACGUCGAACCCCAAUUUCAUAUCAUACAUCCGUCGGAAAGAUAUCCUAAGAGCUACUUGAAUUCCCACUUAUAAACUCCCGAAAUUUUCCGGUUAUGCAAUCAGGUGUUGGGGAUACAGGGGAGGCAUAAUAUCUCACCCAAACUAGCAAAUCCUACAUCCAGCUGUAUCCAUCCUUCAACACAUAACCAAGAAAAACUUCGGAAAUCAUCUACCUCAACCUUCGAAAAGCAUUCGUUAUACAAGUUAUGGCAAUACUCCCGAACUCCCGCCCCAGUACUGGGUGGCGUCGAGGUUAUCUCACCAACAACUGCAUAAAAGAGAUUUUCGAUGUCGGCGAAACUAAACUCAGGUAUUCCAGAACUGCAACGAUAAAAUUGUGACGACAACACCUCGGAGCUCAACUCCCCGGGACACUGCCACAACCCCUAAAUGACAGGAGGCACUAAGAACAAUGUUCUCGUCACAAAACCAUUGGAACGAUUCCAAGAUACCCGCGUGAUCCUAAAUUUUUUUUAGUGAAAUUUAAGAAGAGAAGAGUCAAAACUCUACGCCAGGAUGCCUUACCAGAGCGAUGAAGGGACUAUGGAGUAAAAAGAAUUCCUAACUCUCCGAUAUAUAAUUCCUAAUUGACUCAAAACAUUUUUUCUAGACUCAACAACGGCUGCUAAAAAACGAUCAAGCAGUGGGGGCUCCUAAGGUCGGGGAAGGCUCUGAUACCAACUUGUAAUGCCCUCGAUGUGGCUAUAUCUCCCACGUGUCGAAGCAUGACUUAGAGGCAUAACCGCAUUGAAAGCUCAAUCCGAUAAGAUAACUUCAAAGGGAAAACUCAAUCCAUUACAAAAGAGUAGAGGGGGGAGAAACAUCAUAAGAUCCAACUAUAAUAGCAAAGCUCGCGAUACAUCAAGAUCUUACCACCUCAAGAACACGAGAGAGAGAGAGAGAGAGAUCAAACACAUAGCUACUGGUACAUACCCUCAACCCUGAGGGAGAACUACUCCCUCCUCGUCAUGGAGAGCACCGGGAUGAUGAAGAUGGCCGCCGGAGAGGGACUCCCCCCCUCCGGCAGGGUGCCGGAAUGGGCCUAGAUUGGUUUUCGAUGGCUACGGAGGCUUAUGGCAGCGGAACUCCUGAUCUAUUCUGCUCCCCGAAGUUUUUAGGGUAUAUGGACAUAUAUAGGUGAAAUAAGUCGGUCAGGGGAUCUCCGGGCUGUCCACAAGGCAGUGGCGCGCCCAGGGGGGUGGGCGCGCCCCCACCCUCGUGGGCAGCCCGGGACUCUUCUGGUCCAACUCCGAUGCUCCGUGGGCUUCUUCUGGUCCAAAAAUAAGUUCCGUGAAGUUUCAGGUCAAUUGUACUCCGUUUGAUUUUCCUUUUCUGUGAUACUCUAAAACAAGGAAAAAAACAAAAACUGGCACUGGGCUCUAGGUUAAUAGGUUAGUCCGAAAAAUCAUAUAAAAUAGCAUAUAAAUGCAUAUAAAACAUCCAAAGUUGAUAAUAUAAUAGCAUGGAACAAUCAAAAAUUAUAGAUACGUUGGAGACGUAUCAGCAUCCCCAAGCUUAAUUCCUGCUCGUCCUCGAGUAGGUAAAUGAUAAAAACAGAAUUUUUGAUGUGGAAUGCUACAUAACAUAUUUAUCCAUGUAAUUCUCUUUAUUGUGGCAAGAAUAUUUAGAUCCAUAAGAUUCAAGACAAAAUUUUAAUAUUGACAUAAAAAUAAUAAUACUUCAGGCAUACUAACAAAGCAAUCAUGUCUUCUCAAAAUAACAUGGCCAAAGAAAGCUAUCCCUACAAAAUCAUAUAGUCUGGCUAUGCUCUAUCUUCAUCACACAAAAUAUUUAAAUCAUGCACAACCCCAAUCACAAUCCAAGCAAUUGUUUCAUACUUUUGAUGUUCUCAAACUUUUUCAAUCUUCACGCAAUACAUGAGCGUGAGCCAUGGACAUAGCACUAUAGGUGGAAUAGAAUGGUGGUUGUGGAGAAGACAAAAAGGAAAAGAUAGUCUCACAUCAACUAGGCAUAUCAACGGGCUAUGGAGAUGCCCGUCAAUAGAUAUCAAUGUGAGUGAGUAGGGAUUGCCAUGCAACGGAUGCACUACAGCUAUAAGUGUAUGAAAGCUCAAACAGAAACUAAGUGGGUGUGCAUCCAACUCGCUUGCUCACGAAGACCUAGGGCAUUUUGAGGAAGCCCAUCAUUGAAAUAUACAAGCCAAGUUCUAUAAUGAAAAUUUCCCACUAGUAUAUGAAAGUGACAACAUAAGAGACUCUCUAUCAUGAAGAUCUUGGUGCUACUUUGAAGCACAAGUGUGGUAAAAGGAUAGUAACAUUGUCCCUUCUCUCUUUUUCUCUCAUAUUUUUUUGGGGCCUUCUCUUUUUUUUGGCCUUUUUUCGUCCGGUGUCUCAUCCCGACUUGUGGGGGAAUCAUAGUCUCCAUCAUCCUUUCCUCACUGGGACAAUGUUCUAAUAAUGAUGAUCAUCACACUUUUAUUUACUUACAACUCAAGAAUUACAACUCGAUGCUUAGAACAAAAUAUGACUCUACAUGAAUGCCUCCGACGGUGUACCGGGAUGUGCAAUGACUCAUGAGUGACAUGUAUGAAAGAAUUAUGAAUGGUGGCUUUGCCACAAAUACGAUGUCAACUACAUGAUCAUGCAAAGCAAUAUGACAAUGAUGAAGUGUGUCAUAGCAAACUGAACGGUGGAAAGUUGCAUGGCAAUAUAUCUCGGAAUGGCUAUGAAAAUGCCAUAAUAGGUAGAUAUGGUGGCUAUUUUGAGGAAGGUAAUGGUGGGUGAUUUGGUACCGGCGAAAAUUGCACGGCACAAGAGAGGCUAGCAAUGGUGGAAGGGUGAGAGUGCAUAUAAUCCAUGGACUCAGCAUUAGUCAUAAAGAACUCACAUACUUAUUGCAAAAAUCUAUUAGUUAUCAAAACAAAGUACUACGCGCAUGCUCCUAGGGGGAUAGAUUGGUAGGAAAAGACCAUCGCUCAUCCCCGACCGCCACUCAUAAGGAAGACAAUCAAUAAAUAAAUCAUGCUCCGACUUCAUCACAUAACGGUUCACCAUACGUGCAUUCUACGGGAAUCACAAACUUUAACACAAGUAUCUCUCAAAUUCACAACUACUCAACUAGCAUGACUCUAAUAUCACCAUCUUCAUAUCUCAAAAUAAUCAUCAAGUAUCAAACUUCUCAUAGUAUUCAAUGCACUUUAUAUGAAAGUUUUUAUUAUACCCAUCUUGGAUGCCCAUCAUAUUAGGACUAGUUUCAUAACCAAAGAAACUUACCAUGCUGUUUAGGACUCUCAAAAUAAUAUAAGUGAAGCAUGAUAGUUCAUCUAUUUCUUCAAAAUAAAACCACUGUCGUGCUCUAAAAGGAUAUAAGUGAAGCACUAGAGCAAAUGACAAACUACUCCGAAAGAUAUAAGUGAAGAUCCAUGAGUAGUCGUAUAAUUAUGCAACUAUAUGAAGACUCUCUAACAUUUAAGAAUUUCAUAUCUUGGUAUUUUAUUCAAACAGCAAGCAAAACUAAAGAAAAUAAAAUGAUGCUCCAAGCAAAACACAUAUCAUGUGGUAAAUAAAAAUAUAGCUCCAAGUAAAGUUACCGAUGAACGAAGACGAAAGAGGGGAUGCCUUCCGGGGCAUCCCCAAGCUUAGGCUUUUGGUUUUACUUGAAUAUUACCUUGGGGUGCCUUGGGAAUCCCCAAGCUUAGGCUCUUGCCACUCCUUAUUCCAUAGUCCAUCGAAUCUUUACCCAAAACUUGAAAACUUCACAACACAAAACUUAACAGAAAACUCGUAAGCUCCGUUAGUAUAAGAAAAUAAAUCACCACUUACGUACUGUUGUGAACUCAUUCUAAAUUCAUAUUGGUGUAAUAUAUACUAUAUUCCAACUUCUCUAUGGUUCAUACCCUCUGAUACUACUCAUAGAUUCAUCAAUAUAAGCAAACAACACAUAGAAAACAGAAUCUGUCAAAAACAGAACAGUCUGUAGUAAUCUGUAGGAUCCGAAUACUUCUGUAACUGCAAAAAUCCUGAGAAAUUAGGAAGUACUAGGAAAUUUGUUUAUUAAUCUACUUAAAGUGGAAUUGGUAUUUUAUCGCUCUCUGGUAAGAAAUGAAAAUUAUUCUCGUGAGCGCAUACUUUCUGUUUUUUACAGCAAGAUCAAAUAACAAUCACCCAAGAAGGUCCUAAAGGCUUUACUUGGCACAAACACUAAUUAAAACAUAAAACCACAUCUAAAAAGAGGCUAGAUGAAUUAUUUAUUACUAAACAGGAACAAAAAACAAGGAACAAGAAUAAAAUUUGGUUGCCUCCCAACAAGCGCUAUCGUUUAACGCCCCUAGCUAGGCAUGAUGAUUUCAAUGAUGCUCACAUAAAAAAUAAGAAUUGUAACAUAAAGAGAGCAUCAUGAAGAAUAUGACUAGCACAUUUAAGUCUAACCCUCUUCCUAUGCAUAGGGAUUUUGUGAGCAAACAACUUAUGGGAACAAUAAUCAACUAGCAUAGGAGGGCAAAACAAGCAUAACUUCAAAACUUUAAGCACAUAGAAAGGAAACUUGAUAUUAUUGCAAUUUCUACAAUCAUAUAGCCCUCCCUCAUAAUAAAUUUCAGUAGCAUCAUGAAUGAAUUCAACAAUAUAACUAUCACAUAAAGCAUUGUUUUCAUGAUCUACAAGCAUAGAAAAUUUAUUACUCUCCACAUAAGCAAAUUUCUUCUCAUUCGGGAUAGUGGGAGUAUCAUAAGAGACUUGAAUACUAUAAAUUGUUUCCACAUUAAAAGAGUAAAGUUUAGAGAAAGGGUAAUCAUAAUCAUGACAAGUUUUAUAAAUAUAAUCAUCACUACUUUUCAUAGUAUAAGUUUCAUCACAAUAAUCAUCAUAAGUAGCAACUUUGUUCUCAUUGUAAUCGAUUGAAACCUCUUCCUGUUGGAAAUAUGCCCUAGAGGCAAUAAUAAAUUGGUUAUUAUUAUAUUUCCUUGUUCAUGAUAAUCGUUUAUUAUCCAUGCUAGAAUUGUAUUGAUAGGAAACUCAGAUACAUGUGUGGAUACAUAGACAACACCAUGUCCCUAGUAAGCCUCUAGUUGACUAGCUCGUUGAUCAAUAGAUGGUUACGGUUUCCUGACCAUGGACAUUGGAUGUCGUUGAUAACAGGAUCACAUCAUUAGGAGAAUGAUGUGAUGGACGAGACCCAAUCCUAAGCCUAGCACAAAUAUCGUGUAGUUCGUAUGCUAAAGCUUUUCUAAUGUCAAGUACCAUUUCCUUAGACCAUGAGAUUGUGCAACUCCCGGAUACCGUAGGAGUGCUUUGGGUGUGCCAAACGUCACAACGUAACUGGGUGGCUAUAAAGGUUCACUACAGGUAUCUCCGAAAGUGUCUGUUGGGUUGGCACGAAUCGAGACUGGGAUUUGUCACUUCAUGUAACGGAGAGGUAUCUCUGGGCCCACUCGGUAGGACAUCAUCAUAAUGUGCACAAUGUGACCAAGGAGUUGAUCACGGGAUGAUGUGUUACGGAAUGAGUAAAGAGACUUGCCGGUAACGAGAUUGAACAAGGUAUCGGGAUACCAGCGAUCGAAUCUCGGGCAAGUAUCGUACCGAUAGACAAAGGGAAUUGUAUACGUGAUUGAUUGAGUCCUUGACAUCGUGGUUUAUCCGAUGAGAUCAUCAUGGAGCAUGUGGGAGCCAACAUGGGUAUCCAGAUCCUGUUGUUGGUUAUUGACCGGAGAGUUGUCUCGGCCAUGUCUGCAUGACUCUCAAGCCCGUAGGGUCUACACACUUAAGGUUCGAUGACGCUAGGGUUAUAGGGAAAGUAUGUACGCGGUUACCGAAUGUUGUUCGAAGUCCCGGAUGAGAUCCCGGACGUCACGAGGAGUUUCGGAAUGGUCCGGAGGUAAAUAUUGAUAUAUAGGAAGUAUGGUUUUGGCCACCGGAAGUGUUCCGGGCAUCACUGGUAGUGUACCGGGACCACCGGAGGGGUCCGGGGUCCACCAGGUGGGGCCACCAGCCCCGGAGGCCUACAUGGGCCAAUAGUGGGAAGGGACCAGCCCCUAGGUGGGCUGGGGAGCCUCCCACCAAGGCCCAAGGCGCAAGGGAGAGUGGGAGGUGACAAACCCUAGGUCCAGAUGGGCCUUGAGGCCCACGCUAGGUGCGCCCCCCUCUCUCCCCCCUUGGCCGCAACCCUAGAUGGGUUUUGGGGCUGCCGCCACCCCUAGGGAGGGAACCCUAUAUGGGGGCGCAGCCCCUCCCCUUCCCCUAUAUAUACUUGAGGUUUUGGGGGCUGCAAGAUACACGAGAUCAUCUCCCUCUUGGCGCAGCCCUACCUCUCUCCCUCUUCGUCUCUCGUAGUGCUUGGCGAAGCCCUGCUGGAGUUCCGCGCUCCUCCACCACCACCACGCCGUCGUGCUGCUGCUGGACGGAGUCUUCCCCAACCUCUCCUUCUCCCCUUGCUGGAUCAAGGCGUCGGAGACGUCACCGGACUGCACGUGUGUUGAACGCGGAGGCGCCGUUGUUCGGCGCUUAGAUCGGAAUCAACCGCGAUCUGAAUCACUACGAGUACGACUCCUUCAUCCGCAUUCUUGCAAUGCUUCCGCUUAGCGAUCUACAAGGGUAUGUAGAUGCACUCUCCUUCCCAUCGUUGCUAGAUUACUCCAUAGAUUGAUCUUGGUGAUGCGCAGAAAAUUUUAAAUUUCUGCUACGAUCCCCAACAGUGGUAUCAGAGCUAGGUCUAUGUGUUGUUUCUAUGCACCAGUAGAACACAAAGCAGUUGUGGGCGUCGAUAUUGUCAAUUUACUUGCCGUUACUAGUCUUAUCUUGAUUCGGCGGCAUCGUGGGAUGAAGCGGCUCGGACCGACCUUACACGUACGCUUACGUGAGACUGGUUCCACCGACUGACAUGCACUAGUUGCAUAAGGUGGCUAGCGGAUGUCUGUCUCUCCCACUUUAGUCGGAUCGGAUUCGAUGAAAAGGGUCCUUAUGAAGGGUAAAUAGAAAUUGGCAUAUCACGUUGUGGUUUUCGCGUAGGUAAGAAACAUUCUUGCUAGAAACCUAUAGCAGCCACGUAAAAACUUGCAACAACAAUUAGAGGACGUCUAACUUGUUUUUGCAGCAUAUGCCUUGUGAUGUGAUAUGGCCAAAAGGAUGUGAUGAAUGAUAUAUGUGAUGUAUGAGAUUGAUCAUGUUCUUGUAAUAGGAAUCACGACUUGCAUGUCGAUGAGUAUGACAACCGGCAGGAGCCAUAGGAGUUGUCUUAAUUUAUUUAUGACCUGCGUGUCGACAUAAACGUCAUGUAAUUACUUUACUUUAUUGCUAAAGCGUUAGCCAUAGUAGUAGAAGUAAUAGAUGACGAGAAAACUUCAAGAAGACACGAUGAUGGAGAUCAUGGUGUCAUGCCGGUGACAACGAUGAUCAUGGAGCCCCGAAGAUGGAGAUCAAAAGGAGCAAAAUGAUAUUGGCCAUAUCAUGUCACUAUUUGAUUGCAUGUGAUGUUUAUCAUGUUUUACAUCUUAUUAGCUUAGAACGACGGUAGCCUAAAUAAGAUGAUCCCUCACUAAAAUUUCAAGAAAAGUGUUCCCCCUAACUGUGCACCGUUGCGAAGGUUCGUUGUUUCGAAGCACCACGUGAUGAUCAGGUGUGGUAGAUUCUAACGUUCGAAUACAACGGGUGUUGACGAGCCUAGCAUGUACAGACAUGGCCUCGGGACACAUGCGAAACACUUAGGUUGACUUGACGAGCCUAGCAUGUACAGACAUGGCCUCGGAACACGGAAGACCGAAAGGUCGAACAUGAGUCGUAUAGAAGAUACGAUCAACAUGAGAUGUUCACCGUUGAUGACUAGUCCGUCUCACGUGAUGAUCGGACACGGCCUAGUCGAUUCGGAUCAUGUUUCACUUAGAUGACUAGAGGGAUGUCUAUCUGAGUGGGAGUUCAUUAAAUAAUUUGAUUAGAUGAACUCAAUUGUCAUGAACAUAGUCUUUGCAAAUAUGUUGUAGAUAAAUAGCUCACGUUGUAGCUCCCUGUUUCAAUACGUUCCUAGAGAAAGAUUAAGUUGAAAGAUAUUGUAAGCAAUGAUGCGGACUAGGUCCGUAGUCCGAGGAGUGUCCUCACUGCUGCACAAAAGGCUUACGUCUUUGAUGCACCGCUCGAUGUGCAAACCCCUACAACAUCGUCUGUGAAUGUUGUGAACACCUGACAGACACAUCCUGAUGACUACUUGAUAGUUUAGUGCACCAUACUUUACGGCUUAGAAUCGGGAUUCCAAUGACGUUUUGAACGCCAUAGAACAUAUGAGAUGUUCCAAGAGCUGAAAUUGGGAUUUCAGGCUCAUGCCCGUGUUGAGAGGACCUUUGACAAGUUCUUUUGCCAACAAGAUGGAGGAGAAUAGCUCAGCUAGUGAGCAUGUGCUCAGAAUGUCUGGGUGCUACAAUCACUUAAAUCAAGUGGGAGUUAAACUUCCAGAUAAGAUAGUGAUUGAUAGAGUUCUCUAGCCACUAUCACUAAGCUACUAGAUCUUCGUGAUGAACUAUGACAUGCAAGGGAUGGAGUUGAUCCCGGAGCUGUUCAUGGUGCUUAAGACCGCAAAAGGUAGAAAUCAAGAAGGAGCAUCAAGUGUUGAUGGUUUAACAAGACCACUGGUUUCAAGAAGGGCAAGGGCUAGAAGGGAAACUUCAUGGAUGGCAAACCAGUUGCCGCUCCAGUGAAGGAAACCAAGGUUGAACCCAAACCCGAGACUAAGUGCUUCUAUUGUAAGGGGAACGGUCACUGGUAGCGGUAUUACCCCAAAUGCAUGGUAGAUAAGAACGCUGGCAACUUCAAAGUAUAUACGUGUUAUUAAUGUGUACCUCACUAGUACUCCUCGUAGCACCUGAGUAUUGGAUACCGGUUCAGUUACUAUUAUUGGUGACUUGAAGCAAAAGCUACGGACUAAACGGAGACUGGCUAAGGGCGAGGUGACGAUGUGUGUUGGAAGUGUUUCCAAAGUUGAUGAGAUCACCAUCGCACGCUCCAUCUACCUUCGGGAUUAGUAUUGAACCUAGAUAAAUGUUAUUAGGUGUCUACGUUGAGCAUGAAUAUGAUUAGAUCAUGUUCAUUGCAAUACGGUUAUUCAUUUAAGUUAGAGAAUAAUGGUUAUUCUGUUUACAUGAAUAAUACCUUUCAUGGUCAUGCACCCUAUGUGAAUGGUUCAUUGAAUCUCGGUCCUGGUAAUACGCAUGUUCACGCCAAAAGAUGUAGAGUUAAUAAUGAUAGUACCACUUUCUUGUGGCACUGCCGCUUAGGUCAUAUUGGCGUAAGAUGCAUGAAGAAACUCCAUGUCGAUGGAUGUUUGGAGUCACUUGAUUUUGAAUCACUUGACACAUGCGAGCCAUGCCUCAUGGGCAGGAUGACUAAGACCCUGUUUUCAGGUACAAUGAAACGGGCAAGUGACUUGUUGGAAAUCAUGCAUGCUGAUGCAUGUGAUCCAAUGAGAAUUGAAGCGUGCGGUGGAUAUCGUUAUUUUCUCAUCUUCACUGACGAUUUGGGUAGAUAUAGGUAUAUCUACUUAAUGAAGCACAAGUCUGAAACGUUUGAAAAGUUCAAGCGAUUUCAGAGUGAAGUUAAGAAUCAUCAUAACAAUAAGAUCAUGUUCCUACGAUCUGAUCAAAAGGGGAUUUUCUGAGUUAUGAGUUUGGAAAUCACUUAAGACAUUGUGGAAUUGUUUCACAAUUGAAGCCACCUGGAACACCACAAGGUAAUGGUGUGUCCGGAUGUCGUAAUCAAACCCUAUGAGAUAUGGUGCGAUCUAUGAUGUCUCUUACCAAUCUACCGUUUUCAUUUUGAGGCUAUGCGUUAGAGACAGCUGCAUUCACUUUAGAUAGGACACCAUCUAAGUCCGUUGAGACGACGUCGUGUGAACAUUGGUUUGGCAAGAAACCAAAGUUGUCGUUUCUUAAUGUUUGGGGCUGCGAUGCUUAAGGCUUCAGCCGGAGAAGCUCGAACCCAAAGCGUACAAACACAUCUUCAUAGGAUACCCAAAGGUGACAGUAGGGUAUACCUUCUAUCUCAUAUCCGAGGGCAAAUUGUUUGUCACUAAGAACGGGUCCUUUCUCGAGAAGGAGUUUCUCUCGAAAGAAUUGAGUGGGAGGAAGAUAGAACUUGAUGAGGUUGUCGAACCUUUACUUCAACCAGAGAAUGAUGCAACACAGAAAGAUGUUUUCUGUGGCGCCUAUGUCUGUUGAAGAGGAAGUUAAUGAUAGUGAUCAUGAAGCUUCGGAUCAAGUUGCUAUCGAACCUCGUAGGUCGACAAGGAUAUGUACUACUCCUGAGUGGUACGAUAAUCCUGUCUUAGAUAUCAUGUUGUUAGACAACAAUGAACCUACGAGCUAUGGAGAAGCGAUGGUGGGCCCGUAUUCCGACAAAUGGUUAGAAGCCAUGAAAUCCGAGAUAGGAUCCAUGUAUCAGAACAAAGUAUGGACUUUGGUGGACUUGCCCGAUGAUCGGCAAGCCAUUGAGAUAAAUGGAUCUUUAAGAAGAAGACGGACGUGGGCGGUAAUGUUACCGUCUAUGAAGCUCGACUUGUGGGAAAGAGUCUUUUCACAAGUUCAAGGAGUUGACUACGAUGAGAAUUUCUCACCCGUAGCGAUGCUUAAGUCCGUCGGAAUCAUGUUAGCAUUAGCUGUAUUUUUCGAUUAUGAAAUAUGACAGAUGGAUGUCAAAACAAGUUUUCUUACCAGUUUUCGUAAGAAAAAUUUGUAUGUGAUACAAUAAAAGGUUUUGUCGAUCCUAAGGAUGCUAAAAGGUAUGCUGGCUCCAGCGAUCCUUCUAUGGACUAGAGCAAGCAUCUCGGAAUCAGAAUACAUGCUUUGAUGGAGUGAUCAAAGCUUUUAGGUUUAUACAAUGUUUGCUAGAAACUUGUAUUUACAAGAAAGUGAGUGGGAACACUACAACAUUUCUGAUAAGUAUAUGUGGAUGACAUAUUGUUGAUCCAAAAUAAUGUAGAAUUUCUGGAAAGCAUAAACGGUUGUUUGAAGAGUGAUUUUCAAAGGAAGACCUAGAUAAAGCUGCUUACAUAUUGGGCAUCAAGAUCUAUAGAGAUAGAUCAAGACGCCUGAUGAUACUUUCAAAGAACGCACACCUUGACAUGUUUUUGAAGGAGUUCAAAAUAGAUCAGUCAAAGAAGGGGUUCUUACCUGAGUUGUAAGGUGUGAAGUUGAGUAAGACUCAAAGAUUGACCACGGCAGAAGAAAGAGGAAGGACGAAUGUCGUCCCCUAUGCUCUUGUCAUAGGCUCUAUACGGUAUGCCAUGCUGAGUACCGCACCUGAUGUGUGCCUUGCCACAUGUCUGGCAAGAGGGUACAAAGGUGAUCUAGGAGUAGAUACCAGAUAGUGGUCAAAAUUAUCCUUAGAGGAAUAAGGAAAUGUUUCUCGGUUAUGGAGGUGAUAAAGAGUUCGACGUAAAGAGUUACGUCGAUGCAAGCUUAACACCUAUCCGGAUAGCUCUGGGUAGAGAUACCGGAUACGUAUAAUGGAGCAAUAAUUUGGAAUAGCUCCAAGUGGAACGUGGUAGCAGCAUCUAUGAUAUGACAUAAAGUUUUGCGAAAUACAUAGGGAUCUGAAUAUGGCAAGACCCGUUGACUACAGCCUCUCUCACAAGCAUAACAUGAUCGAACCCAGAACUCAUUGAGUGUUAAUCACAUAGUGAUGUGAACUAGAUUAUUGAGUCUAGUAAACUCUUUGGAUGUUGGUCACAUGGCGAUGUGACCUGUGAGUGUUAAUCACAUGGCGAUGUGAACUAGAUUAUUGACUCUAGUACAAGUGGGAGACUGUUGGAAAUAUGCCCUAGAGGCAAUAAUAAAUUGGUUAUUAUUAUAUUUCUUUGUUCAUGAUAAUCGUUUAUUAUCCAUGCUAGAAUUGUAUUGAUAGGAAACUCAUAUACAUGUGUGGAUACAUAGACAACACCAUGUCCCUAGUAAGCCUCUAGUUGACUAGCUCGUUGAUCAAUAGAUGGUUACGGUUUCCUGACCAUGGACAUUGGAUGUCGUUGAUAACGGGGUCACAUCAUUAGGAGAAUGAUGUGAUGGACGAGACCCAAUCCUAAGCCUAGCACAAAGAUCGUGUAGUUCGUAUGCUAAAGCUUUUCUAAUGUCAAGUAUCAUUUCCUUAGACCAUGAGAUUGUGCAACUCCCGGAUACCAUAGGAGUGCUUUGGGUGUGCCAAACAUCACAACGUAAAUGGGUGGCUAUAAAGGUUCACUACAGGUAUCUCCAAAAGUGUCUGUUGGGUUGGCACGAAUCGAGACUGGGAUUUGUCACUCCAUGUAACGGAGAGGUAUCUCUGGGCCCACUCGAUAGGACAUCAUCAUAAUGUGCACAAUGUGACCAAGGAGUUCAUCACGGGAUGAUGUGUUACGGAACGAGUAAAGAGACUUGCCGGUGACGAGAUUGAACAAGGUAUCGGGAUACCGACGAUCGAAUCUCGGGCAAGUAUCGUACCGAUAGACAAAGGGAAUUGUAUACGGGAUUGAUUGAAUCCUUGACAUCGUGGUUCAUCCGAUGAGAUGAUCGUGGAGCAUGUGGGAGCCAACAUGGGUAUCCAGAUCCCGCUGUUGGUUAUUGACCGGAGAGUUGUCUCGGCCAUGUCUGCAUGACUCCCGAGCCCGUACGGUCUACACACUUAAGGUUCGAUGACGCUAGGGUUAUAGGGAAAGUAUGUACACGGUUACCGAAUGUUGUUCGGAGUCCCGGAUGAGAUCCCGGACGUCACGAGGAGUUCCGGAAUGGUCCGGAGGUAAAGAUUGAUAUAUAGGAAGUAUGGUUUUGGCCACCGGAAGUGUUCCGGGCAUCACCAAUAGUGUACCGGGACCACCGGAGGGGUCCGGGGUCCACCAGAUGGGGCCACCAGCCCCGGAGGCCUACAUGGGCCAAUAGUGGGAAGGGACCAGCCCCUAGGUGGGCUGGGGCGCCUCCCACCAAGGCCCAAGGCGCAAGGGAGAGUGGGAGGGGGCAAACCCUAGGUCCAGAUGGGCCUUAAGGCCCACCCUAGGUGCGCCCCCCUCUCUCCCCCCUUGGCCGCAACCCUAGAUGGGUUUUGGGGCUGCCGCCACCCCUAGGGAGGGAACCCUAGAUGGGGGCGCAGCCCCUCCCCUUCCCCUAUAUAUACUUGAGGUAUUGGGGGCUGCAAGAUACACGAGAUCAUCUCCCUCUUGGCACAGCCCUACCUCUGUCCCUCUUCGUCUCUCGUAGUGCUUGGCGAAGCCCUGCAGAAGUUCCGCGCUCCUCCACCACCACCACGCCGUCAUGCUGUUGCUGGACAGAGUCUUCCCCAACCUCUCCUUCUUCCCUUGCUGGAUCAAGGCGUCAGAGACGUCACCGGGCUGCACGUGUGUUGAACGCGGAGGCGCCGUUGUUCGGCGCUUAGAUCGGAAUCAACCGCGAUCUGAAUCGCUACGAGUACGACUCCUUCAUCCGCGUUCUUGCAACGCUUCCGCUUAGCGAUCUACAAGGGUAUGUAGAUGCACUCUCCUUCCCCUCGUUGCUAGAUUACUCCAUAGAUUGAUCUUGGUGAUGCGUAGAAAAUUUUAAAUUUCUGCUACGAUCCCCAACACUUCCAAGAUAGUGGAAUCAUCACUAAAUAAAGUCAUGACCUCUCCAAAUCCACUUUCAUAAUUAUCAUAAUAAGAUUCAACAUCCUCCAAAAUAGUAGGAUCAUUACUUCCUAAAGUUGACACUCUUCCAAACCCACUUUCAUCAAUAUAAUCAUCAUAAGUAGGAGGCAUGCUAUCAUUAUUAUAAAUUUGCAUAUCGAAUUUGAGAGGCUAAAAAUAUCAUCUUCAUUAGACAUAGCAUCCCCAAGCUUGGGACAAACAUUAAUUGCAGCAAAUAUAUUCUCAAAAACAUCAUCUUCUUCAAACAUAGCAUCCCCAAGCUUGGGCCUUUUCAUAUCAUAAGCAUAAUCACUCUCAUCAUUAAUAGUAUGGAUAGCACCAAUAGUAUAGUAAUUAUCAUAUUCUUCCAAGAAAGUGCCAAAAAGAUUUUCAAGAUCAUAAGAAGUAUCAUUAUCUUCCCAAUCAUAAUCAUCACAACAAGCAAUAGGCAUAACGGGAUCAUCAUCAAGUGCAUCAUCUUCCACAAUUAUUUUUGAUUCAUUUUCAUGAGGCACAACAAUAAUAGGAGCAACAUUAUUUGGGAGAGAUAUCUUUUUACCUCUCUUAAUUUUUCUUUUCUUCUUAUUAACCACAUCAUGUGUGGGUUCAAUCCUCUUUUUGGAGCUCCUUAUUAAUGAGAUUGGUUGAAUAGAAGGCUCUUCCUCGUUACCUGAUUCAUCACAAGAAAUAAUAGGAGGAUAUUGGGAAGUCUCUACCCUUUCAUUAGUAUUCUCUUCAUCUUCUAUUUGUUUUCUUGUCUUUAUGUAAUUGGCAAUAUAAGGAUUUUCAUGCAAUUCACCGCACAAUACAUAUAAAUUUCUUCUAGAUCAAAAUUAAGAAGUUUAUCACGGGCAAAUACUGGAAGAUAGUUAGUUAUACGUUUCAUUUCUUCAUAACCCAUAAGCAAACUAAGUUCAUUAUGAUGUGCAAGGGAAAUCAAGUCAUCACAAUUUUUGGAAACGAUUAGAUCAUGAAACAAUUUGCAUCGGAUAGUUAAAUGACCACGUUCAUUGCAAAGUUCACAAGUACGGCUAAGAAAAAUUAAAUUUUCAGCACAAACAUCUAGCCUUUCUUGCAACCAUUUAGUUUCUAAAUACUUAUGCCUCUUGCAAAAUCUAUCUUCUCUAUUUGGUAUGUAUAAGAGAUAUUUUCAUCAUGACUAGUGCAAUCAUCAUUAGUACCAUGGAUAUUCAAGGAGUUCAUACUAACAACAUUGCAAGCAUGCUCAUCGUUCAAAGAUUUAGUGCCAAACAUUUUAAUGCAUUCUUCUUCUAGCACUUGAGCACAAUUACCGGAAUCCUUAUUUUCAUGAUAGAUAUUAAAAAGAUGAAGCAUAUGAGGUACCUUAAAUCCAUAUUUUUUUGUAAUUUUCUUUUAUAAACUAACCUAGUGAUAAAACAAGAAACUAAAAGAUUCGAUUGCAAGAUCUAAAGAUAUACCUUCAAGCGCUAACCUCCCCGGCGACGGCGCCAGAAAAGAGCUUGAUGUCUACUAGACAACCUUCUUCUUGUAGACGUUGUUGGGCCUCCAAGUGCAGAGGUUUGUAGGACAGUAGCAAAUUUCCCUCAAGUGGAUGACCUAAGGUUUAUCAAUCCGUGGGAGGCGUAGGAUGAAGAUGAUCUCUCUCAAGCAACCCUGCAACCAAAUAACAAAGAGUCUCUUGUGUCCCCAACACACCCAAUACAAUGGUAAAUUGUAUAGGUGCACUAGUUCGGCGAAGAGAUGGUGAUACAAGUGCAAUAUGGAAGGUAGAUAAUGGUUUUUGUGAUCUGAAAAUAUAAAAACAGCAAGGUAACUAAUGAUAAGAGUGAGCACAAACGGUAUUGCAAUGUGUUGAAACAAGGCCUAGGGUUCAUACUUUCACUAGUGCAAGUUCUCUCAACAAUAAUAACAUAAUUGGAUCAUAUAACUAUCCCUCAACAUGCAACAAAGAGUCACUCCAAAGUCACUAAUAGCGGAGAACAAACAAAGAGAUUAUGGUAGGGUACGAAACCACCUCAAAGUUAUUCUUUCUGAUCGAUCUAUUCAAGAGUCCGUAGUAGAAUAACAUGAAGCUAUUCUUUCCGUUCGAUCUAUCAUAGAGUUCGUACUAGAAUAACACCUUAAGACACAAAUCAACCAAAACCCUAAUGUCACCUAGAUACUCCAAUGUCACCUCAAGUAUCCGUGGGUAUGAUUAUACGAUAUGCAUCACACAAUCUCAGAUUCAUCUAUUCAAACCAACACAAAGUACUUCAAAGAGUGCCCCAAAGUUUCUACCGGAGAGUCAAGACGAAAACGUGUGCCAACCCCUAUGCAUAGGUUCAUGGGCGGAACCCGCAAGUUGAUCACCAAAACAUACAUCAAGUGAAUCAACAGAAUACCCCAUUGUCACCACGGGUAUCCCACGCAAGACAUACAUCAAGUGUUCUCAAAUCCUUAAAGACUCAAUCCGAUAAGAUAACUUCAAAGGGAAAACUCAAUCCAUUACAAAAGAGUAGAGGGGGGAGAAACAUCAUAAGAUCCAACUAUAAUAGCAAAGCUCGCGAUACAUCAAGAUCGUACCACCUCAAGAACACGAGAGAGAGAGAGAGAGAGAGAGAGAGAGAGAGAGAUCAAACACAUAGCUACUGGUACAUACCCUCAGCCCCGAGGGAGAACUACUCCCUCCUCGUCAUGGAGAGCACCGAGAUGAUGAAGAUGGCCACCGGAGAGGGAUUCCCCCCCUCCGGCAGGGUGCCAGAACGGGUCUAGAUUGGUUUUCGAUGGCUACAGAGGCUUAUGGCGGCGGAACUCCCAAUCUAUUCUGCUCCCCGAAGUUUUUAGGGUAUAUGGACAUAUAUAGGUGAAAGAAGUCGGUCAAGGGAUCUCCGGGCUGUCCACGAGGCAGGGGGGCACGCCCAGGGGGGUGGGCGCCCCCCCCCCCCCUUCGUGGGCAGCCCGGGACUCUUCUGGUCCAACUCCGAUGCUCCGUGGGCUUCUUCUGGUCCAAAAAUAAGUUCCGUGAAUUUCAGGUCAAUUGGACUCCGUUUGAUUUUCCUUUUCUGCGAUACUCUAAAACAAAGAAAAAACAUAAACUGGCACUGGGCUCUAGGUUAAUAGGUUAGUCGCAAAAAUCAUAUAAAAUAGCAUAUAAAUGCAUAUAAAACAUCCAAAGUUGAUAAUAUAAUAGCAUGGAACAAUCAAAAAUUAUAGAUACGUUGGAGACGUAUCAGGGACUUAUUAUUUCAGAAUUAACUUUAUGCAUAUUCAAAAUUUUACCAAUUAAUACCAUUAUUAUAACAAGCCCACAAAUCUUUAAGCAUAACAAAUCGCAAAGAUCCUUACAUGUAUUGUAAUUACAGUGUAUAAACCAACUCUAACAACAAAUGAAUAUUGGCUCUAGCUCCUUAUUGUAAGAAAGAAGCUAGCUAGAGACAAAGGGAAUCAAAUGAUGGGAAGAGGUGGCUCUAUCCUUAUUCCUCUUCCCUAAACGGCGAUCCCUAGGUGGGUCACAUCUAUCCUUUUGCCCAAGUGUUUGUGUGUGCACGUGCAACAUCUCUCAUCUCAUCUCUCCUUCCUCCUCCCCGCUCACCUAAAAAUAUGGUAUGAUGCGAUCAGUACAGCUGACAUGGACCCCCAGAUGCCCUACACGAAAUAUCGGUGAUAUUUAAAAUAUCGCCACAUAAGAAAGAAGUCUAAAGGUGCAUAUCCACAGAUUGAGCUUUCCAAAAGCAGGGUGACAAGAAUACAUUGGCACCACUCACUCGGUCCCCUCUUGCCUUUAUGGGAUUUUCUUAUUUAUGUAAAUAAACCGCUGAUGAAUAAGUUAUAUAUAUCUAGCGAAUGAGACUUGCAUGCAUGAAUAUGUUCAGUUUUUAUAUAAUUUUUUUAAAGAUUCAAAAAUGGUAUUCUCUAGCUUCAAGAAAAGGAACACAAAAAACCUUCUCUUCCAAGAGCAGCACCUAGUCCGAACCAGCACCCAGAGCGGCAACCGGUUUAGGGAGCUGCCCCUGGAUCCAAAAUCACGCACCGAGCAUUAGACGUCUUGUCCAUCACAGAGUCGGAGGUGUGUUAGUGCGUGGAGGCUGUGUAUGUGUGGGAGAGGAUGAGGAUUGUGUGGAGGAGCUCGGACGGCUUUAAAGUCAGAGUAGGCUUCUCGGUCGCCGCACUGCUAUGAAUGCGAGUAGGCAGGAUGUCGGCUUAGCGGAGUGAAUGCGGUCAAGUCGGAGCAGACACGGCAGGAGAAGGUUAUGGGUGGGUCCGGGGCGUCGGAGUCCGACGUGGCGAACAUCCGUACUUCCCCAAAACUCUAGUUUGGUGCCGGUUUGAAGGAUUUUGGACGUCCGGGCCGGUCCGGACAAGUUUCGUGACAGUCAUUUGAUGGUCAAAAGUGUUCAGACAUUUACGGUCGAUUUGGUGAUCCGCAUAGGAAUUGCCCUUGGCGGUGGGCUAUAGUGUCGAUCAACUAUUUUUAGUCGCAUACUAGAUUUUUAGGAAUUCCUAAAGCAUCAUGUAUUCAUGUUAGACAUGUGUGUUUAGGUGUCUUUUCCAUGUGCUUUCAUCGGCACUGAUCUAUUAUUUAUUGUGGGUUUAUCUCCAUAAAUCUUGGAAUACAAUGGCGUGACCUAUUGCCUUGUAAAAAUUGUGAAUCAACAGCACAUGAUGGUGUGUAGUAUGUCUUGGGAGAUUGCUGACAUAAAUCUCUUAUAAUUUAGAGGCAUAGAGGUUUCGUGGUGUAGUUGGUUAUCACGUCAGUCUAACACACUGAAGGUCUCCGGUUUUUUGUUCGAAAUGGAGGCAAAGAUUACCUCAUCUAUUAAAUAAGCAGAAGAGAAUUGCCCAAUUAAUUACGGAAAAGUGGGCAAAAACCGGAACAACAAGGGUGAAGCCCACUCCCAUAGACUGAAACACACAGGACAAAGCCCACCCUAAUCGACGACAAGUCGGCCUGCAGCCAGACCACGUAGCUCCAUCUCUGGCAGAGAACUCAGAAGGACAAAACCAGGCACGGCUGGCGCCACGGACGAUCGCUGAGCGGGCCACCUGCAGCCAGUCAUCGUACACCACAGGGCCCCGCCGCCGCAGCUUCGACUCCACAGCAGCAAGCAAACCGAGGCAAAACCACGGACACGCCGGAGAAGAGCCGACUACCGCAACCAUUGUCGCGUCACCGACGUCGCUCCCACCAUCAUCGUUGCCACAAAAGUCUCGUCGCUACAGUGAUUCUCUCGGGGCCGCCGCCCCGACAUCCACCGCUCCGUCGCACCCAGCGCAAUCAACCGGCACCACCUUCCGGGGCCGCCGCCCCGACAUACCACCGCUCCGCUCGAGCAGCAACGCCGCACAACCCGGCUGCCCGCAGCCCACGCUGCUCAGGGCAACCACUCGCAGACCACGAACGUCGCACCAUAUCCGGGGCCGCCGCCCCGACGUAAAGUCAGACCGCCCCCUCUGAGAGGCAUCGACCGAGCCGACACCCCUACCGCCCAAGCGGGACAAGGAUGCCACCCAACCAAUGCCGAGAUAGAGCCCCACCUCAUAGAGUUGCACUCACAUUGUUCCCGAGAUCGCCAUCUCGGCGCACAAUCAGAAACUACCCGGAGUCGCCGCCCCGACGUCCACUGUCCCCGACGACGAAGAGAUCCGUGCAAACCACAACAUGCUGACUCUCCAAGGCGAUGCCUCAAAGAAGGAAACGACGUAGCUGCCGACAUCGCCCGCUUCGACCAUCCGAAGCUAGGGAUUUCUCCCGGAGAGUCGUGUAAUGGAGCUCGACGGCAACACCUUCAAGAAGGAAACGGCACCAUGGCCAUGACGCCGCUGUUGCCGGCAUCGACCCAAGGUCAAUGCUGGACUUUCGCCGGAGCUCCUCCACACCUCCGAACCCGAGCAGAUCCGGAGCACUGCGCAGCACACAAUCCCCAUGGUCGACGUCCACCUGCUCCACCUUCCCGCUGCGCCAAGCUACCUCCGCCAACGACCACCGCCUCCCCGGGCCUCCGAGCAGCCCACCCGCGCCCACGACGCACCCAGUGCACGCCCGUCGCGCCACCCUGCGCGACCUCGCGCCUGCACAACCACGACCGAGCUGCAGCUGCAGCUCACCCCCACCGUGCGCCAGAACCACGUCGGCCUCGCCAGAUCCGGAGCCGGAGCCGCACCCGCGCGCCCUCCCUAGCCCGCCGCGCCUUCGCGCCAGAAGCGCCGCCCGAGCUCCAACCUCAGCCUCAGCCCGCGCCGCCCACCCGGCAGAUCGGACGAGCGCCGCCACCAGCCCGCAGCCGGCCACCACUGCCAUGCACCACCACCAGCAGCCGGUCCCGCGGGCCAACGCGCAGCCACGAGCUCACGCCGCUGCCACCCGUCGCCGCGCCGCCGCGCCCCGUCGUCAGCGCGCCACCACCAGCUUGGACGGGCCGCCCGCGCGAGCCGCCACUAGCCGAGGGGAGAGGAAGCCCCGCCUCCGCCUAUGCAGGCCAGGCUUCGCCUGGCGGCGCCUAGUGGCGGCGGCGAGGAGGAGGGAGGAGGUAGGGGAGCGGGGCGGCCGGGGAUGGGAGCUCGCCAGCCGCCGCUCGCGGGAGCGACGGGGGCGAGAAGACCUCUUGGUAGUGAAUUGUUUUUAGCACUAUAUAUUAUCAACGAUGGUGAGGUUCAAAAAACAUCACGAUGCGCAAGGACUGGCUCGUCUCCUAGGUGUCAGGGAUGAACCAUUUCGUAACGAUUUUGUCCCAAACCACAAAAUUGUUCUAUCAUUCCAGUCUCCAGGGAUGAUAUGAUAUCUGUCCCAAGUGCAAAUGCACCGCACGAACAAUAAAAUGAGAAACAUCAAAAAGAAAAUCAAAACAAUCUAGAGUAGUUUUUUUUUCUUUUUGCAACAAACAUUUUUUUUCGAGGGAUGCAACAAACAAUUUUGAUUGUUUGACAUACGUGCAAAAUGUCAUGAAGAAAAAAAUUUCAUGAUGCUCUAGGCAAAACAAAAUCAAAGCUUCAAAAAGGCUUCUUUUUCAAAGCAUUUUUUGAGCCCUGGUUUUUUUUAUUUCGUCCAGGCCAACACCAAUGCCAUUAAAUUUGCGUGUAGGUAGACCAUUAAGCAAUAUUUGUUGACAAAAAAAUAUCAGAUUUUAUUGACUUUAUUUUGGUUAUAUUUUUUUAGAUUUUACUGUUCAUAAUAAGAGCAUAUGAGCUCGGGUGUAGGCUGAUAAUUUCUCUCCUGAGGGCCCUCCGUUCCAAAACAUUUUAAGUUAUAUGUUUGUUGUAAGCAAACUUCAUUAGGUUUGACCAAGUCUAUAGAAUAAUGUAUAUUUUGAUAAUAGAGAGUAGGAUUUUCUAUCAUAACUUACCACAUAACUAGUUAAGGUUUCUGACAAUGUAAAAGUUCCAAAAAUCCUGAAAAAUAAAUACUGAAGCAACACACUUAUAAUAUAACAUGAUCCAACAAGGCGAUUGAAAAAAAUACAAUUGUAUGUGUCCUAGACAAAAGAAAUACUGCAAUAUAUAUUUUUGCCACAGUGAGCUGAAAUGAUUGUUUCUUCGCCGAGGACACAUAAAUGCAUAUUUUCACAAUCGCUCAGUUGGAUCAUCUCAUGAUAUUAAAGUGAUGCUCCACUAUUUAUUUCAUACUUUUUGAUAACUUUUAAACCGUUGAAAGCUUAGCAUGCCUUAACAUAUAUAUAUAUACUUUUUUUACAUAAACUUGGUCAAACUUAAGUUUGCCUUACAAUAAACCAAGAACUUCAAAUAUUUUGAAACAGAGGAAAUAUAAAAUAAGUUAAAAGUUCAGGAAUAUGUUGCAGAAAGGUAUAUUUGAAUAAGGUCAAACAAAACUGUUUUUGUUCACCCUACACAUGUACACUUAGCCCAGGGUACAAAGAUCUAAGGAUCAGAAGAGCUGUCAGUCAAGAAGUUCACCGCCAAGUUUACUUCAAGAUGGCAAUUACACUAGCAACACAAACAUCUAUCCCUCUGUUACUUACGACGGGAAAGGCGAGCAUGAAUCAAAACACACAUACAAACUACCAUUAUUGAACCGAGCAUUCUCGCAAAAAAAGUUGCGCCGGUCGGCUCAAUCUCAACGCUGCAUUAGAAAAUUGCAGCUGUCAUGCUUAUCAAUACCAUCUCAUCCUAACUCAGCUCCAUCUCGUCUUGCGAAUGACAGUGACCGAACCCCCAGAUGGAAUAUUGAUUCAGAUCUAAUAAAGAAUAAAGAAAUUCAGAAGCACGGCAGAAGCGGGUAAUUUACAUGGUCCACUCAAACAUCUGCAAAAUUGACAAAAUCUGUUAAGGAC